rnacentral:lncRNA from 1 species
CGUUGUUAAUUCCCCUAAACAUUUAGUUUUACACACAUAAGUGAGACCAUAUAUUAUGAAUACAAAUACCAAAAUUGAUUGCUACCUCAGGAAAUGUAAUCUUCUAACAAAGUGAUUAAGCAUCUGGGAAAAAAUAUCUAAGCUUCUAGAACUAUUCUUUGCUAACUAUGAAAUAGCUGAGUCAAUCCCACAGCUUUCUUCACGUGUUUUAAUAUCCAUGUGACUACUGAGUUUCUCCUCACUCGAACAGGCCUCUAGCCUCACACAUGCUUAAUCUGGUUAGACCCAAUUUCCCUAGAAUAGCUUAGAACCUCUGGUAGUGUCAUGUGUUGAAUCCACAUCAAACGUGCCUUGAUAUGCAAGUAAAUGAAGUAAUGCAUGUUCCAAUCUACAAGGUUUGGAGAAGAUGACCCAUAGUCAUUCCUUUAUUUCCCGCAUCUCUUGAAAUUUAUCUUCAGUUGACGGAAGACAAUAAGAAUUGCCACAUAAGUGGUAACCAUCCUCUUCGUUUUCUAAGUAGACAUAUAUGAAAGAAUUCUUUAGAAUAUUCUUAGUGGUCCAGUACUGGUAGGCCAUUAACCUUUUAGAAUCACAUGGAAUGAGAUGUUCUAUCUCACAAAAAAUCUCUACGAAGUUCCACUCAUUCUCUGAAAAUACACCCUCCACUCUGCACUGUAGAUCACAACAAAGAAUUUGGCCCGUCUCUCUUUCUGCAUAAAAUAUGUAGACACAUGAAGAAGUAAGGUGCUUAGUACCAUUAACGAGUACAUUGAACUUAAAAUCCAACACCAUGUUGUCCAAAUGCUUUUGAGGUCGUACAUCACACCAUAGAGCUAUCUCGGGGAAUUUUUUUCGGAACCAAAAACACACUGAUGAUUUAUUAUGUCUAAGCUCACCCCAACAUAUUCUCUCUGGUGAAAGAUCGAGAUAAGAUUCACGCCGAGGACUACAUACUUCUAUGACAUCAUUGGAGGUUUUAUUACGAGAAUACACAUUAAGGAAGGACUUCCCACAUUCAUUAUAAACCCGCAUUGCAUUUUCAAACACUUUUGGAUACAAUUUUUCUUCAUUUUCAGAUGAUCGAAAUCCCCUGCAACCAUAAGAUGUUAUUAUCUCAAAUUUUGGCAAUAUGUAGCUUGGUAGCUGAAUCAUCCUUUUGCAUUCCCUCAAGAACAAACGUUGCAGCCCAACAAGAUUUCAAUUGUAAAAGGCAACUGGUAUAGGUCCAUCUCAUCUAAAUAAACAUCUUUUACAUAUAAGAACAGUGGUUUAUAUUAUUUUUGAAUGAAUUACAAUUGUGAGAAUAAUCUCUAUUAAUAGAUAGAGAGUGAACCGAGUGCAUUCAUGCACUAUGCUACAAUCAGGGAAAUAUACAAUACUACAUAAAUACAUAUAAUACAAUUACUAUAAUUACAUGAUUUGUUUUGUUGUCUCAUUGACUUUUGAGCUGUAACAGUUCCAUGCUUUGAUUUGUUGUGGUAUGACUUUUGCUCCUCAUUAAUUCUUUAUUAUUUCAUAUUAAUUCUCCUAUAUUACAUUCUCCAUCAUUCCUAGUACUUCUGGGAAGCUCUCAAGAUGCGAGCAACCUCUAAGAUCUAAAGUCUCUAGAGAUGGCAAGUUCAUGUAGGGAACCAAAUUUCUAGUCAGGUGCAUCCUUGAGCACUUAAUAAUACAAGCCUGUCAAGAAACCCAACUGAAUCAUGGACUCUAAUUAAAUUAGUGCAGUAAUCAAGACACAAUGCCCCCAAAUUUGGUACUCUAGAUAAGCUAGGUACUUCAAUUAGGAACUUGCAGCCUUCAAAAUCCAGAAGGCUCAACCUCUCAAACACCUAAAAAAAGUAGAUGCCUCGAAUGUUUAGGAUACAACUGGAAAUAUAUUAGUUUAAGGCCAACAGAAAAUGUUCAAGACAUGAUUAUUUAUUUUCUUUUUAAAAGAAUACAUGCCUUGAGUGAUUGGAACCAUUUAAGGCGACUUUCAUGCAGGUUAAGUAUAGCAAGAUUCCUGGGAUUAAACUCAGAUGGUAAGGAGGAGGAUGGAUAUCCACUCCAAUCAAGAACUUUCAAGCAAUUUGGAAGAAUUUGAGGACUGUUGGAAAAUCGGGCAUUUCUUAUUAUAAGAAUUUUCAAGUUCUUCAUCUGCCCAAAGGCUCCACACCAUUUCACUUUCUUUGCGCAAGUCGGCGAUUAUGACUUCAACUGUAUCAGUUCCCUUUCAAUUCAAAAUCACAAUCCAAACACAAAUUAAAGGUUGAGAAUUUGUGAUCUAUAUAUUUGAUUGUAUACACAAAUGUCAAAAUCAUAAUGUCUUUUUCUUCAAGUAAAUAAAUUUCAUCAAAUAUAUGCAGUUGAGAAUGGAAAACUAACAAUCCUAGAAACUAACUAAUACGUAUUAAUCAAAACGCAUAAAUAUAAGAAAGCACAGAGGGGAUAUGCUAACUAGCAUACCUUAUUUUCUUUCAAAACAUGAACAAUGCAUGUCAUCACUAAACCAUAAUCUACUGCGUCUCUCAGGUUCCAACGUUGAUUCCUGCCUUACGAUUUCUCUCCCCAUGUCUUGAAUCAAGUCAUGCAUUCUCACACAACCAUUGGUAUCAAUUUUCAUGAGAGAUUUGUCAGUUAGCUCUUGUAUGCCAUCUUCUGCAUGAAAACCAUGUAAGUAUAGUAUUUCUUUAACAUAGCCUAUUUCAAAAGAAUUGAAGAAACAAGCUAUGUCUAGAAAAAUGCCCUUCUCAUCUUCUUCCAAAUCAUCAUAGCUAACUUUCAGAAUUUCAUGGAUAUCUUUAGAAGGACUCUUUCAUAUUUGUCUAAUGAGGAUUUCCAUACAGCUAAACUUUUUCCAAACAAUUGAGAUCCUAUUACCUCCAAAGCCAAGGGAAGACCCUGACAAUAAGAUACUGCACGUUUUGCGAUAUCCAGAUGACCUGGAUAAUUUUUUUUAUUUUUAAAUGCAUGCCAACUAAACAACUCCAGGGCCUUUUCAUUUUUUAGCUGUUUAACCUCAUAUACUUUCACAAUCCCAUUACUGGCCAACAAAUGCUUGUCUCUUGUAGUGACUAUGAUCUUGCUUCCGGAGCCAUACCAAUCAUCUCCUCCUACAAAUGCCUGUAACUGCUUACCUUUGUCGACAUUAUCAAGAAUCAAAAGGACUUUCUUUCUUUGAAGCCUCCUUUUAAUUAUCGACAUUCCUCUGUAAACAUCUCCUACUUUAAUAUCCUUCUCCCCCAAUAUAUCAGAAAGUAGUGCUUCUUGGAGCCGUGCAAGAUCAUGAUUAAUUUCCCUCUUUCUUAAGUCAUCGAGAAAACACACACCUUCAAACUGAUCAGCAAUCAAGUUAUGCACAGCACGAGCAGUUGUUGAUUUGCCUAUUCCGCCGAUUCCAUAAAUGCCUACCAUGUUGACUUUCUCAUUCGAGUCAAGUCCAAGGAGAGAUAUCACUUCUAAUAUUUGAGACUCCAAGCCAACAGGGUUCUUUGCAACAUGUAAAGGAAUGCGGUUGAUCUUUACAGAGACUGCUUUAACUAUCUUUUCAAUAAAUUUAUAUUCUAAUUCAUACCUGCACAUUACAGAAGUAGUACAUGUAAAAUGAAAGAGAAUCAAUGAAUGUCCUUAGUUUAACUUAAUCACUUGAACAAAAAUUAAUUGCAUAUAAAUUAUUACAUCUUUGCUAUAUUUUGGGCAUCCAGAUUUAUAUGUUCACCAGUAAAGACAUAGCGCAAGAUUCCACGAAUAUGAGAAAAAAUAACAAAAAAAGAGAUAUGUUUUGUCAUGUAUCGUUAGGGAAAAACUUUUCCUAGAAUGAACAUGUUAGGACAAAAAAUCGGGUUCUAAAGAAAAUAAGAGCACACAAGAAUACAAUGAAUUGAUCACGGAGUUCGGACAAUUGUGUCUAAGUCUCUGAAAAUAGAGUGGUUGCAGUCUUUUUUCGACUGAGCAAUACUUAUAGAAUAAAUUAUAAUGUUUAGAUACUAAGAUACAAUUUAUAAGUGAACAUGAGUCAUACUUAACAUUCAUAGAAUAGAUAAAUAGAUAAUUUCAAUUAUCUUAUGUGAAGGGAUGGUGUGAAUGAAGUACAUACCCUGGUUUGAAAUGCCAUCCAGACAUAUUAGCAGCUUGAUGUAAAGCAUCUCUCCAUUUCUGCAUCUUAUGCUUGUCAUCUCCAAACCUCUCCUCGUGUUUUUUGAAAGCCUCGGCAUAAGUUCCAGUCAGGUAUCGAAUUUGAGAUGGAUCCACAUCAUAAAACACCGGCGAAAAUAACCUUCCUUGUGACAUGGAGCACUCAAGGAUGGUGACAAGUUCAGUCAAACAAAACGUUGAAGAUGCAUAGUUAGGUGAGAAAAUAGCAAUGAAAAUCCUAGAUUCUUCAAUGGCUUGAAGAAGAGUAGGUGUGAUUUCUUCUCCUUUUUGAAUUUCUUCAUCAUCCAUAAAAGUUUGUAUACCUCUUUGAUUUUGUAGAGAGUUGUAGAGAUUACCAGUGAAGUUGUUUCGGGUAUCUUUGCCUCUAAAAUUGAGGAAAACAUCAUAAGUCCAGUCACAAGUGAAGGAAGACAGAGAAGGUAGUGCCAUGAACGGUACUAGAGAAUUAAUUAGGAAUUAAGAAUUAACUAAUUAACUUUUUUUCUCCUCCUUGAUUUCUGAUCUAAAUGUUCCCUUUUUUCAAAUAAAGAAGAAAAAUAUCUAAGAUGGGAUGAGACAAACGAGCUGCAGGAGUAGUAAUAUAGUAUCCUUAUGAAAAUGAACAUUUCUUGACCAAAGACAUUAAACUCAAAUGUCGUUGUAAUAGAUCCUUAUAAUAUUUGUAAAUAUUACUCCCUCCGUCCCAAAUUGUAUGUCGCUUUAGGGAAAAAAUUUGUCCAAAUUAUAUGUCGUUUUACAAUACCAAUGCAACAUUAAUGUUAUUUUUCCUAUUAUAACCUUAACUAUUUAUUACUCUCUUCUUUCAAUUCUUUCAUUUAUCUUUCUCAUAUUAUUUAUUAAGGAUAAUUUUGUAAAAUAAUUCAUAAUAUCUCUUUUCCACACAAUAUUAAUUGUAUUUCUUAAUAUGUGUGAAAUGCCCAAAACGUCAUACAAUUUGGGACGGAUGGAGUAAUAAUUUUUUUUUCUUACAAAAGCAAAAUUAACUCGUAUCAUUAAUAAGGAAGGGUUCAAUACAAAAAGAAAGAAACUCAAAUAUGGUGACUAGCCCAUGGCUGCUCUAGGUAAAGAGUGAGCAAUCAUAUUCGUUUGUCGCCGAAUAAACUUCACCUCGAAGUUGAAAAGUAGAUUUUAAACGGUAAAUGUAAAAAUAUUUUUUUUUAGGGGUAAAUGUAAAAAUAUUAGUAUGUAUUGUUUGUUUGGUUAAUAUUUCUCUCCUUUAUUAAAAUUUGAAUAAGUCACUUAAUUUAUUUAACACAUGGCCGUUAAUAUUUUUCUCCUUUAUUAAAAUUGAGUAAGUCUCUUAAUUUAUUUAUUUUUUGUGGUAGCCGGGGUUCGAAUCCUAGAACAUGUAUAUAUUAUGAAUUGUCCAUAUCAGUCUGAACUAAGCUCGCGAGGAUGUCUCUUAAUUUAUUUAGUCGAUGGUUCCAAUCGUUGAAUUUAGGAGUGUUUAAAUUAAAAAGGAAAAAAAAAUUAUGAAUCAAAUAGCAAUGAAAUCGAGGGGGAGGUUCCUCGAUGCUUCUAAUUUCCGUUUCUUGAAUUUCAUUUUUCAAUUGUAAUUGUUUUCUAUUCGAUUAAUGAUAUCGAAUCAAUUAUUUGUUAGGUUCUAUAUUGAUCUUUUCAUGCCUUUGAAUAUCUGGCUGUGGAACUAUAUGAAAUUUUCUGAUGGGAGAGAUCCAAUGAAAAUAUAUCCACGCCUUCAAUUAUCUUCUUUGUCUUCAACGAAAAUCUCUAUUCCGAACAUUAAUUUAACUUUGUGGAGUCAAAUACUCAGAAUGAUUAUCUUCAUUUUCGUAUCUAAGAUAAUUUGGGUCCUUUAUUGUACAAAAGAAAAGUGAAUUAAGUUGUAUAAAAUAAAAAAGGGAAUUGAGGUAUCAAAUUACAUGUGUUGUGAAAUUUCCAUUUCCAGUUAUUGACAAUCCUUGCAUCCAAAAACAAGAUUCACAAUACAUAAAAUAGAGAGGAAAAUCAUACAAAGAAAUAUUGUGAAUUCGAUGAAAACUCACACCAAUAACAAACUUCAUGUGUGAAGUAAGGAAUAAUCAAGUAACCAAAACAAAGUGUAAGGAACAAUUAUAAACACAAGCAAAAGUAGAAAACAACGAGAGAGAAAGGAAAAGAGAACACAAAGAAUUUGUUGACCCAGUUCGGUCCAAAUUGACCUAGUCUGCGGGAGAGAGCAGUCAUCCGUUUCAUUAUAUGAUGAGUAACCUUACAAAAGAUAUAUAAAUGGGUUACAAGAAUAAGUCUCCCGCCUAAUUCUACCAAAAGUCCCAAUCUCUUCCCGUAACCAAGAGACUCAAUCCUAAUAGUGUUUCCCAAGGCGAAUCAACCCUCAAACCCUAGUGUUUGUUCCAAAUAGACAAACUCUAUACAAACUCUAGUUUUGUUGUUGCAUUUCUAAACCCUUGUUUCAGCCCUCUCUAUCUCAAGGUUUACACCGAUACAAUGUCUAUAUUUAUAGUAAAAGAAUCUUCAAUAAACUUGGAACAAAUCUAGGCCGUAAAAUAUGUUUUUGUUUUAUUUCACCGUGCUCACAAAAUCGGCCACCGUGCUCACCAAAUCGGCCAUCGAUAAAUGUCGAACCAGAAGCUCAAAUAAAACAGGUCAAAAUCGGCCACCGUGCUCUGAAAAUCAGCCACCGAUUUUCAGCUUCCAAAAUUCCAAUUUCUUCAAUUUUAAGGCACUUUCACAACAAGAAAAAAAAAAAAAAAAACAUUUAAGAGGGGAAUCUUGACCACAAUAGAAGAAACAAACGGGAUUCUUGAAUGCCAGUUUAGAAACUUAUGGUAAAAUAAAGGUAAAAGAACCCCGACAACACUCAUCAUUUGUGAGAUAUAUUUCCAAAGUGUAGAACUUACAUGGAUUUACCCAAUAAGUUCAAAACACUACUUUAAAUAAAAAUAAUAUUUGUACAACUAUUUUGAAACACUUUAUGUCUCAUACUCUUAUUUUGUACUUGCUGAGUCUUCCUCUCUCUAUUGUUUUUUACUAUUAAGAAGAGGGAAGAUCGUCUCAAAAAUUGUUAAAAUGGUUGUACAAAUAUCAUUGCUCAAUUUUAAUCCUUGUGUCUCGUUCAUUUUAAAGAAAGUACUACUUCACUCAAUAUUAACACCCAUCUAUUUGCAGUCUCAUCUGCAAAAGGAGAGCAAUCCUUCCAACAACGCAUACAGAUAUGACUGAAAUGGCAGAUGGUAAUGGAUCAGCAGUCCAAAAUAACCAUUGGAGAAUCAACAAGAACCAUAAAAAUAUUAUGGCUCCCCUAAACAUUUAGUUUUACACACAUAAGUGAGACCACAUAUUAUGAAUACAAAUACCAAAAUUGAUUGCUACCUCCAUAAAUGGUGGACAUACAAUAGACAAACUCAGCAGACAAACUUGGGUGCUGCAGUUAGAUACACUUUGUUAGAUCAUAGAGCAGAUUUAAGAGUUUUUAACAACUUUAAGUAUCUAAAAGAGGAGCAACAAAAAUCACCUGAAAUACAUAAUUUUGAAGAGAAAAAAAAAAGGAUAAAAUGACAUCCAAAACUAAAGAGGGCACAGAAUAACACUUAAGCCUUGGUCUCCUCAGCAGCGGUUUCAAAAGUCUCCCCGGGGACAAGAUCUGGUACAGCAUCAUCAUCAUCCUCUUGUGCUGCAGUUGCAUCAGCUCCUGCUUCAGGAGCCUGCUUCUGAAAUUGCUCAGCUAACUUCUUCAGAUUUUCCAAGUUAUCUGGCCCUACAUUUUUCCAACAAAAAAAAAAUAUAUAAGAUUAUAAUACAACUUAGAUAAGAUAUCAAUCACAUACCUAAUUGGUGAAUGAUGUUGGGGAGAAUAUCCUGCAACUCUACAAAAGGGAAAAUUUAUACAAGUGAAAAUGUCAGUCCAGCAUGAAAUCAGAUCAAAAUCAAAAGGAUCACUAAUGUCAAGUCUCACUCGAAAUGAGGAAAACAAUGCAUGGUAUGGUACACUACAAAUUGUACAAAAUUUUGAACAUUUCAAUAUGAUACACAUCAAACAAUGGUGCUUACGAAGUCUAAAAUUUCUGAACAUUGAUGCAAACAAUGGUGCUUACGAAAUCUACAAUUUCUAAACAUUAAUGGAAAGAAAACUGUGGAUAACUCAUUCACAGAUAAUGUUCAAAGAUGUUGACAGUGUUCUAUGUUAGGUGUUGCAGUUUUGUGCGCCACACUAGAGUAAAUAAACAGCAGAAGCCAUGUUUGAUAAUGAAUCAUUAAGCAUAUGAAGAAAAAGAUAUAUAUGCUUACUCUUUGUCUGAGGAGAACCGCUAACAACCCAAGUGUUGGCAGCAAUAGCUGCUUGUACUGUAAACAAUUAAAGUUUAACAGUUAGCUUAAUUAGAUCUUAAAAUAAAAUAUAUACAAUAGUAUUGUGAAUUAAUAUUACCUUUGGGGUAUAGAAACUGAAUAACUACAUCAUCCUUAAAGAUGUUGACUUCCUCAAUGGCAGGGAUACUAUUCACUCCAAUUCUCUUCAGAGUGCUUUAAAGUCUUUUGUCGUCUGUAGUAGCUGUCUUGUGGACAGCCUUCUUCUUUCUAAAAUGGGCAGAAAACAAAACAUUAAUAAAAAUAAACAACUUAGCAUACAAUCUUUCUACCAGGGUAUCAAACCGAAAUAAUACAGGCGCCAUAAAAUACAUGGAUAGCCAAGAUGGUAAGAUUUCAGUUGAUUUCAUAUCAGACACAAAAGUAAAGACUUGUAGUCAAUUUAUGAUUGCUAGUAGCACAUAAAUAGACAGUUAAAAGUACAUUCAACUUGAAAUCCAACACCAUGUUGUCCAAAUGCUGUCCAGUUUUACAAGACACCAUAGAGCUGUCAUGGGGAAUUUUAUUCGGAACCAAAAACACACUGAUGAUUCAUUCCUUUUAAGCUUACCCAGUUCAAGUUUCAAACAAAAGAGGUCAAAUUCAAAAUUUGAGAGAUUAUAACCAUGUUGACUCCACCAAGGAUGACUUACUUCUAUCACAUCGUUUGAGCUUAGGUUACGAGAAUACACAUUAAGGAAGGAUUUCCCAUAUUCAUUAUAAACACACAUGGCAUUUGCAAACACUUUUGGUCUCACUUUUUCUUCAUUUUCUUCAGAUGAUCGAAAUCCUCUACAACCGUACGUUGGAGACCAACAAGAUUUCCAAUUGUAAAAGGCAAUUGGUAUAGGUCAGUCUGAUCUAAAUAAACAUCUUUUAUAUUCUUCAUCACUCCUUGUACUUCUGGGAAGCUCUCAGGACGCGAACAACCUCUAAGAUCUAAAGUCUCCAGAGAUGGCAAGUUAAUGUAGGGAACCAAACUCUCUAGUCGGGUGCAUCCUUGAACACUUAAUAACACAAGCCUGUCAAGAAACCCAACCGAGUCAUGGAUUCUAAUUAAAUUAGUGCAGUAAUCAAGACACAAUGCCCCCAAAUUUGGUACUCUAGAUAAGCUAGGUACUUUAGUUAGGAACUUGCAUCCUUCAAAAUCCAGAAAGUUCAACAUCUGAAACACCUAUAAGAAGUAGAUGCCUCAAAUUGUUAGGAUACAACUGCAAAUAUAUAUUAGUUUGAGGCUUUUAAAAGAAUACAUACCUUGAGUGAUUGGAACCAUUUAAGGUGACUCUUAGACAGGUUAAGUAUUGCAAGAUUCUUGGGAUUAAACUCGUAUGGUAAGAAGGAGGAUGGAUAUCCGCUCCAAUCAAGCACACUCAAACUAUUUGGAAGAAUUUGAGGACCAUUGGAAAAUUGUGCAUUUCGAAUUAUAAGAAUUUUUAAGUUCUUCAUCUGCCCAAAGGCUUUUUCACACCAUUUCACUUUUCUGUCUUUGCGCAAGUCGGCGAUUAUGACUUUCAAUUGUAUCAGUUCCCUUUCAAUUCAAAAUCACAAUUCAAACACAAAUUAAAGGCUGAGAAUUUGUCAUUUACAUAUUUUGUUGUAUAAACGAAUUUCUUAAUCAUAAUGUCCUUAUCUCCUAGUAGUAAUAAAUUUCAUCAAACAUUUAUAGUUUAGCAUGGAAAAUUAACAAUCCUGUAAACUAACUAAUACAUAUUAAUCAAAAUGUUGAAAUAUAAGAAAGCAAACGAGGGGAUACUCUUGCAAUCAUACCUUGUUUUCUUCCAAAACAUGAACAAUGUCUUCACUAAGCCAUAAUCUACUGCACCUUCCAGGCUCCAAUGUCGAUUCCUGCCUCACAAUUUCUCUGCCCAUUUCUUGAAUCAACUCAUGCAUUCUCACACAACCAUUGGUAUCAAUUUUCAUGAGAGAUUUGUCAGUUAGCACUUGUAUGCCAUCUUCCGCAUGAAAACCAUGUAAGUAUAGUAUUUCUUUGACGUAGCUUAUUUCAUAAGAAUUAAAGAAACAAGCGAUGUCUAGAAAAAUUCCCUUCUCAUCUUCUUCCAAAUCAUCAUAGCUAACUUUCAGAAUUUUAUGGAUGUCUUUACGAAGAACUCUUUCGUAUUUAUCUAAUGAGGACUUCCAUACAGCUAAACUUUUUCCAAACAAUUGAGAACCUAUCACCUCCAAAGCCAAGGGAAGACCGUUACAAUAGGAUACUGCACGUUUCAGGUAUGCAGCUAUCCGAACUGAACCAAAGUUAUAAUUCGGUUAACCGUUUUCUUACCUAUGAACCGAACCGAACCAAAACUAAUAUUUUGAACCGAAAUGUAUUUUUUUUCCUUUUGGGAAUUUAAUUGUGUUUUUUUUUUAUCCAAAAUGCAAAAUAUUUUUUUAUUUACUUUUUUUCUAAGAAUAUAAUUUUUUUUAUUAAUAUUAUUAUUACACAACAAAAUAAAAUAAUAAGUUUAAUGCAAAAUAUAUUAAGAAAGAAAAAUUACAGUAUGAAAAUUAUUAUCGAUUAAUUUUUGAAAUUAUUAUCGAUUAAUUUUUGAAAGAUAUGAAGUAAUAAUAAUAUAGAUUGAAUUAAAGUAAUAUAUAAGAUUAAACACGGUAAAAAAAUAUGUAUUAAUAUUUACUUUCGCGGUUCGGUUUAGUUUGUUUCGGAUUUGAAAAAAAUGAUCUGAUCUGAUCCAAGUCAAAAAAAUCAACAUAAGAGCACAUAAAUCACAAGAGCACAUCUUUUGGUAAAUUUCAAAAAAUGCAAUAGAAGUAUAUCUUUUGUAGAGUUGACAUCAACAUAAGAUACAGUUGACAUCAACAUAAGAGCACAUAAAUCAUAAGAGCUUAAUCCUUAAGUAACAAUAAAAUCAACUUCAGUUUGAAGCAUAAAGAUGCCCAAUAAUUCCUUAGUUACUCUCAAUACAUCAUACUUGGAUAAGUUAAUAGAGUCAACAUCCUUCCAAAGAAAACUAUUACAAUGGCAAAACAAAAUAAAGCUAAAUGUUUAUAAUAGCAGAUAUCUUCUCUCAACAAGUAGCUAAUAACUUCAACUUUGAAGUCCAAAUUGAUCUCUGACUUUAUGAAUUAUGUUUGAUCAUUCAUAUGGUAUUGACCCUGCAUAACAAAAAGACAUGAAUUGAAGUGAAUUGAAUUAGAAAGGGAUUCAAAGACAUUUGACAAUAACUAAUACUAUAUAUUAACCAAACAUAUUUAUCUCAAGUGUUACCAUUAUGAUUCAAGUGGAUGGUUUUCAAUUUAUAUCAUCUAAGUGGACUGAUUCUUGAGAUGUAAUCUCUACAAAAAAAAAAAAAAAAAAAAAAAAAAAAAAAAAAGAAUAUAUAUUAAGCAAUGUUGAAAAUAAGAAUCAAAAUGCACAAGAGUAAUAAUAUAGAUAUCAGUAAAUUUACCUUUCUCCAAUCUAUGGAUCUCAUCAAGGUCCUCUUCAGAAAACAAGUGGAUGGCCUUUCCUUUUAACCAGUCUUGCGUGCAAACAAGCGCUUCCAUUAUUUUGGGUGUUAGACAAGUUCAAUAAUCACUAACAACUCUUCCACCAGUGUUGAAUGCCGACUCUGAAGCUACUGUAGAUGCAGGAAUAGCUAACACCUCCUGAGCUAUGCUUGCCAAAAUAGGAUAUCUAGUUAAGUUGGGUUCCCACCAACCUAAGAUGUCAAAAUCAAUUUCUUUCUUGUAAGGCACUCAAGCUUCUUUUAGAUAUUCUUCAAUUUCAUCUUUAGAAUCAGAAACAUGCCCGGUUUCUUGAUUGUAGUGGCACCAAAUAUCAUCGUCAUCCUUCUCAUGCCUGGUUUCUAGUAGACUAGAUUGAGAGUAAUCUGUACCACCAUAUUGAACAUAAAUUUUUCUAAAAUCUGACAUCAAUUUGUCCUUCAGGUGUUUAGCUUUUCCGGUGCUUGCAUAUAGAAGGUCAAUAUAAAAUUCAGCAAAAUGUAGUUUCGCCCGUGGAUCAAGAACAAAAGAAAUCAAUAGCAAGAUAUUUAAGGUGUCUGGAUCUCCCCAAUACUUGUUGAACUUAAUUUUCAUCUUGUUCGCUGUCUCCAUGGUGUACUUAUUUGUACUACUCAUAUGCUUGUUGAUCCCUUUCCUAAUGGCGAACACCUCUGCCAUAUACGAAGCACUUGUCACAUAAUACAAAGAACCAGACAAACAAAUUGUGGAUUUAUAAAACAACUCAAGCAAGGGAAGCACAUAUUCAACAUAGUCCUAAUCUCCAUCUGUUAUUCCAUGUGUUGUUUUUUCUUCCAUUUCUCGACGAAAUGUGACCUCUCGUACGCUUAACUUGUGAAAGGCCUUUCUAUACUUCAAGGCAACCGUCAACAUUGAAUACAUCGAGUUCCAACGAGGGUCAACAUCAAGUACAACAACACCUUUGUAUGGAAUUUUCUCAUCAGAAGCACAUCUCAUAAACUUUUCCAAUCUAGAUGGCGAGGAUUUAACCCAUUUAACAGCAUGACGAAUCUUUGAAAUAGACCCUUGUUUAUCCUCCUUCAAGCCAGAUUUCACAAUAAGGUUUACUACAUGUGUGCAACACCGCAUGUGAACAUAAUCCCCAUUUAGGACGUGAUUGUCCCAAUAACUCAUCAUAUUAUGCAGAUAUCGAAUCAUAACAUCAUUUGCCUUGGCAUUAUCCACCGUUACCGUUAAUAUCUUACCAUACAAGCCCCAAUCCCUCAAAUAAGUGUCAACAUAUUUACCCAACAUGUCUCCCAUGUGACCUAUGAUUUGGCAAAAGUUGAUGAUUUUCUUGUGCAGCUUCAAUUCACGAUCAACAAAAUGAACGGUCAAACUCAUGUAAUUUAAGUUUUGAUUUGAUGUCCAUGUAUCAGUUGUCAAACAAACUCUACCACAAUUCUUCAAGAAUUUUUUCAAUUUUCCCAACUCCUCGUUGUAGAGCGCCCAGAUGUCACGCCUCAAUGUAUAUCGUGAGGGGAUGUCGAAUCGAGGCUGCAAGAUAAUCAACAACUUUCUAAAUUCUUCAUUUUCCACAAAUCGGAAUGGGAGCUCGGCACACACAAAAGUUCUCACUAAUUACGCUCGGCAUGCCUUUUGAUCAAAUUUGGAAAAGCUUGGAGAAGAAACAACUUGACCUUUUUUAACAAUUUUUCUCCUUUUCCUUGAUUGGGUCCCUUGAGUGUCACCAGAGUUAUACUUAGCGCAUCUUCCUAGAUGAUUCCACAUACCACUUGUCCCGCUAAUCACAAUGAGCUGAGGGCAAUAAUUGCAUUUAGCCUUUUUCUUUCCAUUUACCAGUAGACUGUUCAAGUUGGAGGUGUCAAAUGGAGGUGAAACUUGUUCAAGUUGUUGAUCACUGUAUAUCAAGAAAACUACCAGAAUCACUUGUGUCUUAAGAGAAUUUAACUUGAGAUUUUUGUUUUCAAAUCUGUCAUACUAAUUUUCUGCACUAGGGAUAUCACUUCAAUUCAUUGGUUUUGUUCUUCCUCAUGCAUUUAUCGUUGUUCUCAUUAUGGAAAAAACAGGGCACAAGUUUUGCAUGCACAUUGGUUGGCUCUAGAGUCUAGAUAGAAUAUAUUAGUGUAACUGUUAAGAAACAGCAAGUAUGUUGCUAUAGAUCCUUGUCAGUUUAUAAUAAUAGAUUGUGUGAAUAUUUUGUGUGAUGGCUUGGCUUCUUAGCUUGUUUACAUUACUAAGAUAAUCUUCUUUGUCAAUCUUGUCUUAGUAUCAUUGUGCAAAGUCAUGAGUUCUUGUAGUCUUACUCUCAUAUUACUAAGAUAACUUAUAUGGAUUUCUUUUAACAAGGUUCUGGAAUCCAUUUGUAAAUUGAAUUACUAUACUGACAAGAUUCGAUGUCAUGCCACCCGUGUAUCAACUUUUGAUGUCUGUCUUAUUUAAGGCAUUUCUGGAAUCUAACAAGGUGGAUGAUGUGUUACAUUUGUUCAAUGCCAUGCAUUCUGAAGGUUUUAAACCAGAUAAAGAUUGUUUUGCAGAAAUAGUAACUACUCUUUGUGCUGAUGGUAGAAUGGAUGAAGCAGUUAGUGUCUAUAUUGCUAUUGUUGUGAAGCAUCCUGAUAGUGAUUUCCACCUUGAUAAUCACAUCCCUUUUAUGAUAAUGACCUUGUGUGAUGGCUUGGCUUCUUAGCUUGUUUACAUUACUAAGAUAACUUAUAUUCAACUUGUUACUGCUACUACUGCACUGUUGUUGCGAUUCUUCAUUAUUUCGGUCACAUUCUGAUCUGUUGUCCAUUUUCUUGUUACAAAGAUGUCAGAUAAUAUCUUAGACUUCACAGUGCCACAAGAUACAAACCUCAAUGCGUCGAAUGAACUAUAAAAUGAACUUGAAUCUAAUGUUGAACAUGAUGUUCAAUCUACUGGUAAAUGGAAAGAAAAAGGCUAAAUGCAAUUAUUGCCCUAAGCUCAUUGUGAUUAGCAGGACAAGUGGUAUGUGGAAUCAUCUAGGAAGAUGCGCUAAGUAUAACUCUGGUGACACCCAAGGGACCCAAUCAAGGAAAAGGAGAAAAAUCGUUAAAAAGGGUCAAGUUCUUUCUUCUCCAAGCUUUUCCAAAUUUGAUCAAGAGGCAUGCCAAGCGCAAUUAGUGAGAACUUUUGUGUGUGUCGAGCUCCCAUUCCAAUUUGUGGAAAAUGAAGAAUUUAGAAAGUUGUUGAUUAUCUUGCAGCCUCGAUUCAACAUCCCCUCACGAUAUACAUUGAGGCGUGACAUCUGGGCGCUCUACAACGAGGAGUUGGGAAAAUUGAAAAAAUUCUUGAAGAAUUGUGGUAGAGUUGUUUGACAACUGAUACAUGGACAUCAAAUCAAAACUUAAAUUACAUGAGUUUCAUCGUUCAUUUUGUUGAUCGUGAAUUGAAGCUGCACAAGAAAAUCAUCAACUUUUGCCAAAUCAUGGGUCACACGGGAGACAUGUUGGGUAAAUAUGUUGACACUUAUUUGAGGGAUUGGGGGUUGUAUGGUAAGAUAUUAACGAUAACGGUGGAUAAUGCCAAGGCAAAUGAUGUUAUGAUUCGAUAUCUGCAUAACAUGAUGAGUUCUUGGGACAAUCACGUCCUAAAUGGGGAUUAUGUUCACAUGCGGUGUUGCACGCAUGUAUUAAACCUUAUUGUGAAAUCUGGCUUGAAGGAGGAUAAACAAGGGUCUAUUUCAAAGAUUCGUCAUGUUGUUAAAUGGGUUAAAUCCUCGCUAUCUAGAUUGGAAAAGUUCAUGAGAUGUGCUUCUGAUGAGAAAAUUCCAUACAAAGGUGUUGUUGUACUUGAUGUUGACACUCGUUGGAACUCAAUGUAUUCAAUGUUGUCGGUUGCCUUGAAGUAUAGAAAGGCCUUUCACAAGUUAAGCGUACGAGAGGUCACAUUUCGUCGAGAAAUGGAAGAGAAAACAACGCAUGGAAUAACAGAUGGAGAUUGGGACUAUGUUGAAUCUGUGCUUCCCUUGCUUGAGUUGUUUUAUAAAUCCACAAUUCGUUUGUCUGGUUCUUUGUAUGUGACAAGUGCUUCGUAUAUGGCAGAGGUGUUCGCCAUUGGGAAAGGGAUCAACAAGCAUAUGAGUAGUACAAAUAAGUACAUCAUGGAGACAGCGAACAAGAUGAAAAUUAAGUUUAACAAGUAUUGGGGAGAUCCAGACACCUUAAAUAUCUUGCUAUUGAUUGCUUUUGUUCUUGAUCCACGGGCGAAACUGCAUUUUGCUGAAUUUUAUAUUGACCUUCUAUAUGCAAGCGUCGGAAAAGCUAAACAACUGAAGGACAAAUUGAUGUCAGAUUUUAGAAAAAUUUAUGUUCAAUAUGGUGGUACAGAUUACGCUCAAUCUAGUCUACUAGAAACUAGUCAUGAGAAGGAUGACGAUGAUAUUUGGUGCCACUACAGUCAAGAAACCAGGCAUGUUUCUGAUUCUAAAGAUGAAAUUGAAAAAUAUCUAAAAGAAGCUCGAGUGCCUUACAAGAAAGAAAUUGAUUUUGACAUCUUAGGUUGGUGGAAAGCCAACUUAACUAGAUAUCCUAUUUUGGCAAGCAUAGCUCAAGAGAUGUUAGAUAUUCCUGCAUCUACAGUAGCUUCAGAGUCGGCAUUCAGCACUGGUGGAAGGGUUGUUAGUGAUUAUAGAACUUGUCUAACACCCAAAAUAAUGGAAGCGCUUGUUUCCACGCAAGACGGGUUGAAAGGAAAGGCCAUCCCCUUGUUUUCUGAAGAGGACCUUGAUGACAUCCAUAGAUUGGAGAAAGGUAAAUUUACUCGUAUCUAUAUUAUUACUCUUGUGCAUUUUGAUUCUUAUUUUCAACAUUGGUUAAUAUAUAUCUUUUUUUUUUGUAGAGAUUACAUCUCAAGAAUCAGUCCACUUAGAUGAUAUAAAUUGAAAACCAUCCACUUGAAUCAUAAAGGUAACACUUGAGAUAAAUAUGUUUGGUUAAUAUAUAGUAUUAGUUACUGUCAAAUGUCUUGAAUCCCUUUCUAUGUCAAUUCACUUCAAUUCUUGUCUUUUUGUUUUACAAGGCCAAUACCAUAUGAAUGAUCAAACAUAAUUCAUAAAGCCAGAGAUCAAUUUGGACUGCAAAAUUGAAGUUAUUAGCUACUUGUUGAGAGAAGAUGUCUGCUAUUAUAAACAUUUAGCUUUAUUUUGUUUUGCCAUUGUAAUAGUUUUCUUUGGAAGGAUGUUGACUCUAUUAACUUAUGCAAGUAUGAUGUAUUGAGAGUAACUAAGGAAUUAUUGUGCAUUUUUAUGCUUCAAACUGAAGUUGAUUUUAUUGUUACUUAAUGAUUAAGCUUUUAUGGUUUAUGUGCUCUUAUGUUGAUUUUUUUGACUUGGUUCGGAUCAGAUCGUUUUUUUCAAAUCCGAAACAAACUAAACCGAACCUCGAAAGUAAAUAUUAAUACAUAUUUUUUUACCGUGUUUAAUCUUAUAUAUUACAUUAAUUUAAUAUAUAUUAUUAUUACUUCAUAUCUUUCAAAAAUUAAUCGAUAAUAAUUUUCAUUCUGUAAUUUUUAUUUCUUAAUAUAUUUUGCAUUAAACUUAUUAUUUUAUUUUGUUUGUGUAAUAAUAAUAUUACUAAAAAAAAUUAUAUUUUUAAAAAAAAAGUAAAUAAAAAAAUAUUUUGCAUUUUGGAUAUAAAAAACACAAUUAAAUUCACAAAAGGAAAAAAAAAUACAUUUCGGUUCAAAAUAUUGGUUUUGGUUCGGUUUAGUUCAUAGGUAAGAAAACGGUUAACCGAACCAUAACUUUGGUUCAGUUCGUAUACCAGCAUACCUGAAACGGUUCGGUUCAGUUUUUCCGAACCAUUUCAAAAUUUCGGUUCGGUUCGGUUUUUUAGGUUAACCGAACCAUGUCCACCCCUAAUUACCAUAAUAAAAAUUUCCUCUGAAUAAGAUAUAGAAAUUCUCAUCUUAUACCUCUGAAAUAAUACCACUUACGUGAACUUUAUAUGGUCCAGCGACUUCUGCUUCUUCAUCACGAACCAUUCUGGUAACUUGAAUAUCUGAAACAAAUAAAAGGGAUUGGGGUGAGAUAGGAUGUCUCAGUGAGUUCCACCUAUCCUAGGCUAUAGGCAAUUUCAGGGAAAUUAGGAUCGCCAUAUGUUCUAAACUCAACCCAUUUCAGGUUUAUACAGUCUUUAUCAUACAUAACUGAGCGAUCGGGGAUAACUAAGAUCUCUACGAAGAAUACUAUCAUGAUUUUUUUUCAUAAUGUCAUAUUCUUAUUCAUACACAUACUCGUAAUCAUAAUCAUAAUUCUUAGCUAAAAGUUCAUGCCAUUAAUUAUACAUUUUACUAUGUGCAUAUAUCUCUUCGUGGUGGCAACAAUAACUUUUUUUUUUUUUUUUUUGUUACUAUGAGUCGUACCUCAUAGUCUACAUUAUCUCUUCGUUGUAGCAAACUGAGUUUUCGCAUUUGUUACUAUGAGUCGUACCUCAUAGGCUAUAUUAUCUCUUCGUUGUAGCAAACGGAGUUUUCACAUUUGUUACUAUGAGCCGUACCUCAUAGGCUACAUCAUCUCUUCGUUGUAGCAAACGGAGUUUUCACAUUUGUUACUAUGAGCCGUACCUCAUAGGCUACAUUAUCUCUUCGUUGUAGCAAACGGAAUUUUCACAUUUAUUACUAUGAGCCGUACCUCAUAGACUACAUUAUCUCUUCGUUGUAGCAAACGGAGUUUUCAAUUUUAUCUUCGCAUUUGUUUUAUCUUUUUUUUUCUUUCUUUGAGUAUGUUACUCAUUUCAGUUUUUCUUUCAAAUCAUUUCUAUAAGUAUAUACAUCCAUUGUCUUGCUUACUGUUUUAUUUCUAGAACCAAUUCAUAUGAUCAACACUUUCAUAACAUUGAUAUCAUAUAAAGUUUCAUUCGCAUUAUAUCAUAACUUUGCAUAACCAUUAAAACCUCGUUUAUAUUGAGUAAAAGUAAAUAACACAAUUUUAAUGACAUAAUUCAAACUACCCAAAGGGAGAGUUAACUAACUAAAGGAACUUACCUUGGCAUUUUCCUGAAUUCUCUAUACCAUUUAAGUCUCAAAUAAACUCUUGUCAGUUUCAUAAGCGCUUUUCUACUAAACAGUUUAUUGCGGCUUUUUACGUCAGCUUCCAAUUUUCUGCAUUUCAACUCAAAACAAACACUUAUUCAGCCCUUCGAACAUACAUAUUAAGUUCUGGAACUAUUCACACAAUUUAAAUUCACGUUUUAGCUUAUUUCGGAAAAAUCCUGGCCAAACCCGUAGGCUUUGUUUGGGAGUUUGGAGGGGAAGGAAAGGAAAGGCUUUGAGGGGUGCAAAAUAUAAGGAAAUAUAGAGAAAUCUUUCAAAUUUUUUAAAAGAGUAGUUUUUUAGAGAAUGAUAAUUUAAUGCAUAUGAUUACUUUAUUUUUAAUUUUAAAAAUAUUAUAACAACAUAGAUUAAAUUUGAAAAAUUCUUACUAACCCUCCAAAACGCCCCAAAACCCUCCUCCAAUACAGUUUUGUAGUUCCUCCAAAUGAGGAAGAUUUUGUAUUAUGAAGAAAAGUUAACCCCCCAAAACCUUCAUCUCCCAUUUUCCUCUAUUUCUUCCACUUGCUCAUUCCUUUUUUCCCAAGUCUUCCCCUCCAAACUCGCAAACAAAGCCGUAGGCAAUUUUUUCAGCAUAAAAUCCAAACUUCAAACCCGUUUUCUAAAUCCAUUCCUAAUCCGAAACAUACAAAAUUUAUAUCCAAACUGAAGGGAAUUAAGUGUAGAGUCCAAAAAUCCAAUAAUUAUUCAAUUAUGGGUUACACAGCCAGAGAUAUGACCCAAAUACCAUAAAUCUGUCCUUACCAAUUUUAAACUAACAUGCCAAAAUAUUCAGCCGUAAAGUCUUAACCAUCACACUCAGUUUCAACACCACCACUCCAUAAUACAGCAAAAAUAAUUCAUUUCAAGGUUCUCAUAUAACUAUUUUCAUCCAAUUCCAUAGCAAUUUCUGUAAUCCCAAUUUAUCAACUUCUCUAGUUACCAUGAACUCUAAUAACAUACACUUACAAUUACUACAACCUUUAACAAUUUCACAAUUUCUUUAAUCCCAAUUUAGUAAAGAACUCACCUCAUUUGGAAAUACCCUCUUGAUACAAGAUGUCCUAAAGCUCCAAACUCUUACUUUCUUCUAAACUUUCUUCUUCCAACAUGAAGGAUUGUCAAUGAUUUCUCUACAUGUAAGCCAUUCAUCCUUGGAUUUGAGAGAAAAUUGAAAUUGGGGAAAGAAGGGAUUGGUUCUGGUUCGGCCACUGUAGCACUAGAAAGGAAUGAGUUUUGCUUCCUUUAGCUUGAGUGGAAGAAAAAAGAAAGACAUGUAAGCUUGAAAGGAUAAUAGUAAUGGAAGAUUUUUUGGGGUUAGGAGGUGAAGAAAGCCUUCAGCUGAGAAAGAAAAUAAGAGGGAGAGAUAUUUUAAGUUUUGUGAGGGGAAGUGUGUGGAAGAUGUAGAAAAAUCGGUAUUGACCAAUUCUAUGGGUUGAACUGGGAAAAGACUUCUUUGCCCCUUUCACUUACUCUUAGGGAUAUUACAUAUAUGCUGCUUACUAGUAAUGAUCUGUGCUACAUGGCAUGAAUGUGGGAAACAAAAUGAACAGAAAUAGAUGUGUGAAAUUAGGUCAUAUGUCAUCAGGGAAAAAAAGUUCUUCCAAAGAAUAUGCUAUGAUCAAAUAUUAUAGUUUAGCUACUCUGAUCCAUUUUAAUAUACAUAUUGAAAGGAAAGUGGAAUGCAACUAACAUCCAUCCAUCUAUAUCUCUUCUGUUUGUAAACUAAAAACUUACUCAUUUUAAUAUACUCUCUUUGUAAAUUAAAUUUGACUCAUUCUAAUAAUAGAAUUGUGGCUUUGUGGUGUAACACCCUAAUUUUCUAUUUUUAGUUAAUUCAAUGAUAUUUAAUAGGUGGAGUUUUGAUUAAUAUUCUCUUUUGUGGUGGUCAGGGUUCGAAUUCCGAACCAUGCAUAUAUUAUGCAUUGUUCAUACCAACUGAGUUAAGCUCACGAAGACGAUUAAUAUUAUUGUUGAUGUAGUUUGUGCUUGAGUAUUAUUUUGUUGACGAUAAAAUAGAAAUAAUGAUGUGGAGUGGGAGGUGGUUUGAGAAAAUUAAAAGAAAUGAAGAGGAGAGUCCAACAAAAUAAAUAAAGAGUCAUGGGUGUAGAAAGUAAGAUUUUAAUAAGUGAGGAAGGGGGGAAGUAAAAGAGUAUUGCAUAAAAAAGGAAGGCAAUUAUAGAGAAUAGUGAGCCUAGAUAUAAAUAUGAAUAUUAGGGAUUAGAAAUCAGUUUUGCUGAUCAGAGAAAAGGGAGAAGAGAAGCAUAGGGAGAGAAGCGAAACCCUAGUGUAGCAACAUCGGGUCAAACCAAAGGUUUCUAUGGAUUUGAGGUAAGGGAGAGAAUCUAUUCAUCUAUAGGGUUAAUAUUUUGUUGUGGGGCUAUAAAGAGAUUAGAGAGUGAGUGAUGUUAUAAUGGUGAUGAAAUUAUUGAUGUGUUGUUUAAUUCUUAAGAUAUGAUUGUUGUUAUGAUGAAAAAUUCCACUAAAAAAUUAUGAAGAAUGAAUAAAAUUGUUGUUGAAAGAGUAAAACUAAGGGAACCUAGUUUAGAGAUUAGGGUUAAGAAUUUGACCCGAAAGAGUGUAAAAUUGGAUAGGAUAAGAGGGAAUUAAUAACGUCUAAACAGUAGGAUAACCCUAGAGUGAUGUUUAGGGACAAAUUGGGUAAGUUAAGGGUCCAAAAGUAGGAGUUUAGGACAACUUAUGAUUGAUUCUAAGGCCGAAAAAUAUGUUUUUCAGGCAUCUGAAUCGAUUCAAAUUUAUGUAAAUCGUAUCAAUCUUCAUCUGGGGAUUUUGAAUCGAAUCACAUACUCCUUGAAUCAUAUCACAGAAAGUUUUUGGACUUGAUUGAAUCGAUUCAUAUAAAUGUGAAUUGAUUCAUACUUAGAUGUCUGCAUGAAAGUUGUAGAUAUGGAUGUCAGCUUUGAUGUGUCUUUGAAGGGACUCCUUUUAGACUCCUACAACUUGAGUUAUGAUCAAAUUACUGUACAUGGGUCAUAAUGUGUUUUUCAUGGAACUUCGGCACAAUCCUUUCAAUGGACCUCAGACCAUCAUAGAAAAUAAUUGUGAUUUUAAUAAAGGUGUUAACGUGAAAGGUAAAAGUAAGGAUCCCUAGACUAUAUAUCUAAAUGAGGAACUGUGUUUAUGCAUAAAUAGAAGUUAUUACCUUAUGGAAAUGGCGAGUCUAAAACAUGAACUAGUGAUAGUGGCGUAAAACAAUAGAAGAUAGUAACGAUGGAACUAUAUAUGAAGAUAGGAUCCUAAACUUAGUAAGCCUAAAAGAAUAGGGGAAAGACAUUAUGAGGAAUGACGAGUAGAGUGAAAAAUAUCUUAAGAUUGAGAGCGAAGGGUAAGACCUGUCACCAUGACAAAAGAUAUAGAAAAUGGAGAUACAACUAUUGAUGGAUGUGUGUUUUAAACAUGAUGUCGAAAUAUCGAAGAUGUAAACAAUAUGUAUGAUAGGUAGAUAUGAUGUUAAUCGAUGAAUGAGAUGUUAAAGUUAUAAUAUGAUGAGGUAUGAUGAUGAUGAUGAUGAUGAACGACGUAACAGAUGAUGCUUAAGAAAGACUUGAAGGUAAAGUAGAGAGAGUUGUAAGAGGUUAAUUCAUGAACUAAUAAGGAUGAAAAUAAUAGUAAAUUAGAGUAAAGGAUAAAUUUAGCGACGAGUAUAUAUGAAGAGCGAGAACGUAUGAAGGUUGUUAGGUUGAAGAGAAGAAGAGUCAAGGUAGAUGAUACUGAUAAAGAUACGAUGAGGUGUAGGUAACCGAUGAUAAAGGGGAGUGGGUUAAAUAAAGGGAUAAGGUGAGAGAUAUCAGUCGCGGUAAGGAUGAAUGUCGAGCACUCAUGAAUAAUGGGACAAGAUCAUAACGGUGUAAAUAAUGAUGUCGAAUUAGAGAAUUGAUGUUGAUGAUGAGUGGAUAGUUAUGAAAUGUAGACGAAGAUAUAGAGUUGUGUAUGAAGUAAAUGAAUGACGUGAGGGGUAGUAAGAGUUGUGAGUUAGGAUAGGAAUCGAUUAGAAGAGAGAAAGAUGGAUAGGAAAGAGGAUAUGAGAUAUUAGCUAUAAGGUUAGACUAUGAUAAUAACAACUGGUAUCGAGAGAAUAAAACCUUGAAUUAUAAUGAAGUCGUAGUGACGAAAGUUAUUGAAGUUGAAGGUAAUGAUAAGGUGUGAUAAUAAUUUCAAAUUAGAACAAAAUUAAGAUUAGGAGAAUGGUCAAUGUAUAGAUGACGAGGAAUGUGAGAAUGAGAUAAUAAGAUAUAAAGUCGCUUUAAUGAGAAGAAUAAGUUUGAAAGAGUUAAUGACAAUGGUGAGGAAGAACCAAGUUAUAUAGCGAGACAAUGAAUAAGAAAACAUCUUGAGACUAAGAAUGAGGAAUAGGGAAUGAUAUCGGAAAUAAAGUUUAUAUAUAUCCUAGAAUAGAUGAGAAAAUAGAGUAUGUCCAUAAGAUGAAUAAUAAAAUAAAAUAGAGGGAUGUUGACGUCGAAAUGUUGCCCUCCACUCUUUUAUCCCCAAUCUCGAAAGCAAAUUAAACCUAUUCAUUUUAUCUCCCUUAUAUUUAACUCCUAUCGACUUGCAAAUGCCCCACACUUCUUCAACUAUAGCUUUAGCAGUACUGUCGCGUCAUUUUUUGGAGAUCAAGGCUAUUUGAUUAGCUUUUGACUCACUAAUUAUUUCACGACUGAACAUUUAAUUUUAUUAAGAAAAGGGGAAAAAAGUUCAAAUUACCCCUAUUUGAAAAGAUUUAGGGUUCGGGGGUUAGUUACAUAAAGGGAAGGUAUUAGCACCCUCUAUGUCCGUAGUACUCUACGGGAACCUCUUGGUUUUAUUUAAUUUAAUGUGCUAUAACUUGCUUGCUUUUGAAAAAGAAGUUAAUGUGAUGAUUAAAAGAAAAAGAAAGUGAGACCUAAUUUAUCUACAUUUUUUAUUGUUUGGAAGGACAUGGUCCUCUGCCUACGUACCCGUGAAGGAUCAAAACCUCGUAGUUCGGGGUAGAAAACGACGUUUGAUUGGUUUUGUGUUUUUUAUUAGUUUUUGAAAAAAGGUUUAAAAAAUAAAAGCCAAGUGGCAAAUAAGAAUUUGUUUGUGUUUUUUAUUAAAAAAAGAUAACUCGAAGUAUGAUUAAAUUGAUUGAUAUUUGAUUAAGAAAAUAAAAUGAAAAAAAGGACGAUCACUUGAUUUAGGAUCAAGGUUUAUUAUGAAAAAAUGUUUUUUGUGAUUUUUGGUUAUUUGCAUGUUUUUUUUUGUGAUUUUUGGAUAAAUAUAUAAACUAACGGAGCAUAAAGAAUAAAAGCGCGGCUACCCUAAGUUAGAAACGUAAAAUCUAUGACUAUUACAUAAAAAGCCUAUUUACAUUCUAAGGUCUGCAAUAAAAAUUAAAAUGCUAAAAAUAAAUAAACAAAUACGAAAAGGAAUAAGGAAAAAUAAAAAAAAAAUGGUCCAAACACAAGGUGGGGUGCAGUAGUAAAUAGGGGUGUGCAGAAAGCAAAAAAAAAAGAAUUGGGCUUUAAGGAAACGAACCGGGUCGCGGGUCGUGGGUCAUGGGCGACCCGGUUUGGGGGAUAUAUAAGGGUUGUAGGGUUUUUUCUUUCAUUUUUCAUUUUUCUUUCUCUCUCUUAUCCCUCAAAUCCUCUCUUCUCUCUCUACUUCUUUCUUCUUCUCCGGUUGGAGAUGGGGCGGCCGGGAGAAGUCCGGCGCGGUGGCCGGCGAGCCAUCGCGGCUGCGCCGCCGCGCCGGAGCUAAAAAGCUCCUCCUUUUUUUGAUUUUUUUCGCUCUUUCUCUUCUACUUCCCUCCCUCUGUUCACUUCUAGCCUUCAAGUUCCCAAAACCUUUACCCAAACGCCUAGAUCUAAAAAAAAGAAAGAAAUUUAUACCUUUUGUUUAAGAAAUGGAUUCGGCUUUCUUGUGGCCGGUUCUGUGAUGUGAUUGUCGCUGUUGUAACGGUUUGCGCGCCUCUGUGUGUGCGUGUGUGUGUUGUGUUGCGCGCGGCCGUGUUUCCGUUUCUAUGCGUGCUUCUCUGGUUCCUGUUGUGCGAUUUUUGUUUCUUAUGCGCGUCUCUCUGGCUUCUGUUGUGUGUUGUGUUGCGAUGCCGUCCUCUGUUUCUUCGUGUUUUUCUUUGUUGUGCGGGUCUCUAUUUAUAGAGUGAGUUUGAGGCUAGGGUUUGUUACUGAUGAGCAAAAAAAGCAGUGGCUUGUGGAGGAGAAAAAGGGAAACGCGUCUGUUUUAUUGGAUUUGUUUCAGAUGAGGCGUGAAUCCGGAUUUGGAUUAGAACAGCAUAUGCGUGAUGCUGUUAUCUUGAACCUGGACUUUUUGGAUUUUGGACUUUUUGGACUUAAAAAGAAAAAAUAAUUAAAAGGAUAAUAUCUACAUUUUUGGUUUUAAAUAAAAAAGAAAAAUUUUUAAAAUGGGAAUAAAAGAAAUUUAAUCUAACUUGGACUAAAAUUAAAAUUAGAGUUCUAAAUUAAAAGAUGGAAAUAAAUAAUUAAAGACUGAGAGAAGAGGGCCCGAUUCGGAACUUUAUGAGGUAUUUCAAAAUACCUCCCUGCCGAAUUUUUUACUGAGACGUGAGACCGAUCAGGUUUAAAUGGCGUGUGUCAGUGAGAUCUUGGGUCAAAAAUUGGGGUAUGACAGAUGCCCCUAUUUAAGUUUCUUCGUUCAGAGAUUUUGAAGAUGGAAUCUUUGAUUCGAUGAGCCGAAGAGACUUAAAUACAAAAGUGCACCAAUUUUGACCUAAGAUACUAUGAAUGUUCAUGAUUUAAUUAUGAAUGCAUGAUGACAAUGACGGCUCGACUGGAAUGAAAAGACCCUAGGAUACCCAAAUUCUUCGAAGAAAGGGAUCCGACUUCACUGGGGAAUCUGGUUUCACUGGGGAAAAUGGUUGUUCCUCAUUGUCUCGACAUCUUGAAACAAAGCGCAAAUGGUUCAGACUCCAAUGUCCAUUUGUGGACUUGGUUUUGAAAAUGAAAUAAUAGAAGGAUACAAGCUAUUUGUUGGUUGAAAUUGGCCACUUGUUACAGGCUGUUCGUUGGUUGGAACCGGUCGCUGAGCAUAAAGGUAAAAGAUUGACAUGAGUUGUUCGUUUGUUGGAACUAGUUGCUCGGAAGGUAAAAAACAUUGGCAUAGGCUAUUCGUUUGUUGGAAUCGGUCGCUGGGCAUAAAGAUAAAAGAUUGACAUGAGUUGUUCGUUUGUUGGAACUAGUUGCUCGGAAGGUAAAAACAUUGGCAUAGGCUAUUCGUUCGUUGGAAUCGGUCGCUGGGCAUAAAGAUAAAAGAUUGACAUGAGUUGUUCGUUUGUUGGAACUGGUUGCUCGAAAGGAAAAAAAACUGGCAUAGGCUAUUCGUUUGUUGGAAUCGGUCGCUUGAAAAGUUUGGAUUGGUGACAUCUCUAGAACAGCUACGCUGGGGAUGAUACCUGGAGUUUGAAGUUGACAUCGAGAUUAACUAGCGUCGUGACUAGUACGGCUUUCCGCCGGGGAUGACACUUCGAAACUAAAGUUGAAAUUGGCAUUGAUUAGUGACAUGACUUAGCACGGUUUUUCGCCGGGGAUGACACUUCGAAACUAAAGUUGAAAUUGGCAUUGAUUAGUGACAUAACUAGCACGGCUUUACGCCGGGGAUGACACUUUUGAAUUUGAAAUUGAAAUUGACAUUGAUUAGUGACAUAACUAGCACGGCUUUACGCCGGGGAUGACACUUUUGAAUUUGAAAUUUGAAAUGGAAGACGCUCAUUUGUAGAAACUUGCGGCUUGACACAAUGGUAAGCUUUGACUGAUGCAAUUAUGUGUGAAUUGAUGUUAUGCAUAUGUCGUGUACGCAUAAACGUAUGAUUAUGUGAAAAUAUUGGUGAAUGCAUGAUUCUAUGAAUGUAUGGAUAUAUGAAUGUACAUGACACGUGAGUCGAUGAACCGAGACAAGACAGGUAAGAUGGGAGUCGGACCGACAUUGCAUUACAAACACUCGGCAACCUUCCUUGGAGAUGAUAUUAUUGUGAGCAAAUCGAGCCGUUGAUGGUGUAAGAACCUGGCACUAGGUAGCCACCGAUGCCUCCUGGGGGGUGAGCCCAUUGUCGAUGAAAGAAGUCUGGAAGAAGUCGCCAUUUGUAAACCGGCACAGAGUGUCCUUCCAUUGGUAUGCUUCAGCAGUCAUACCUUUUGUUUUAUUAAAAGAAAAUCCCUAAUUUUUGCCUGGACCGCCCUUUCGGGUUUUCAGUCCACCGGGAAUAUUUUUUGUUUUGCCCCUAAUUUUUGCCUGGACCGCCCUUUCGGGUUUUCAGUCCACCGGGACGCCCUCUGUUGCCUAAGUCGCCUUUUCAGGUUUUCAACUUAGCGAGCUUCUUUGUAUUAUUUUUGUAUUUGUUUAUUCAGAGACUUUCCUUAGUGUCGAGCCACGCUUUUAGCAGGAUCUAACCUCUUUUGAGUUGAUAUAUGCCUCUUUUACUCCCGAGUGCCAAGCUGUAUCUAUUUGUUUAUGCUUUUUUUUUUUUUUUUUUUUUUAUAUAAUGUUUUAGAAAUCUGUUUCAAAAUAUUAUCAUCAAUAAAAGAGGGAAAAAAAAAAAUCGAGAAACAAAACAAGUAGGAGUCAAAAGAGAGGUAAAAGCUCAAAGUUUAUUAAUCGAAUGACGCUAUGCCAAUGGCAUGACUUCAUGGAGUUCUUUACAAAGUUUGAAAAGAAAUGGUAAUUUAAAAUGGAAAGGUACGUUGAACUUCAUAACUCUAUCGUUCUCUAACAACUUUGAAAUCCGUUAUCUUGUGGCUCGAAUACUUUUGAUAUCAGGUAUGCCCCAAGUGUAUCUGUGUUCGACUGGAUGCAGUUACUUUGUCUCUCUUUUUUUUUUUUUUUUUUUUUUUUUUUUUUUUUUUAAAUCCUUAAUUUUUGCAUAGACUGCCCUUUCGGGUUUUCACUCUAUCAGGAUAAUGAUCUCUGUUUAUUGUCUCUAAUUUUUGCCUGGACCGCCCUUUUCGGGUUUUCAGUCCACCGAGACGCUCAUUUUUGCCUAAGUCGCCCUUUUCGGGUUUUCGACUUACCGAGCUGUUCUUUUAAAGUUUUUAGACAAAGUAUUUCUUGACUGCAUCCGUGUUCACAGGUCGUGGAAGUUCUUCACCGUCCAUGGUUUGUAGAGUCAUGGCACCACCUGAGAAGGCUCUUUUAACAACAUACGAACCUUCAUAAUUAGGAGCCCACUUGCCUCGGGAGUCUGGUUGGAAAGAGAAAAUCUUUUUGAGCACAAGAUCACCUUCUUUAAACUCACGGGGACGAACUUUCUUGUCAAAGGCCUGUUUCAUUCUUUUCUGAUAUAAUUGUCCGUGACAUAGGGCUGUCAUGCGCUUUUCUUCAAUUAGAUUCAACUGGUCGUAUCUAUUCUGAACCCAUUCAGCUUCUGAUAAGUCAGCCUCCAUUAGAACUCUUAAUGAUGGAAUUUCGACUUCUACAGGAAGUACUGCCUCCAUGCCAUACACCAGGGAGAAGGGAGUUGCCCCUGUUGAAGUGCGUAUAGAAGUACGAUAUCCAUGUAAUGCAAAGGGAAGCAUUUCAUGCCAAUCUUUAUAAGUCACCACCAUCUUCUGGACAAUCCUCUUUAUAUUCUUAUUUGCAGCUUCGACAGCACCAUUCAUUUGGGGUCUGUAAGGUGAAGAGUUAUGGUGCUCGAUCUUGAAAUCAUCACACAAUUCUUUCAUCAUCUUGUUGUUUAGAUUUGUUCCGUUGUCGGUGAUGAUCCGGUUGGGGAUGCCAUAACGACAAAUGAUAUGAUUCUUGAUAAAUUUGACCACUACUUGUUUGGUCACAUUGGCAUACGAUGCGGCCUCAACCCACUUAGUGAAGUAGUCAAUAGCCACUAGGAUAAAACGGUGUCCAUUUGAAGCUUUGGGCUCAAUCCUUCCGAUCAUGUCAAUGCCCCACAUAGAGAAAGGCCACGGAGAGGAAAGCAAAUUGAGUGUAGUUGGCGGCAUAUGAAUCUUGUCGGCGUAUAUCUGACACUUGUGACACUUUCUGGUAUGCUUGUAGCAAUCUGAUUCCAUUGUCAUCCAGUAGUAGCCUGCUCGCAAUAUCUUUUUAGCCAUUGUGUGCCCAUUAGGAUGAAUUCCGAAGGAUCCUUCGUGUAUUUCAUGUAUCAAUAAAUCAGCUUCAUAUUUGUCUACACAUCUGAGCAAGACCGUGUCAAAGUUUCUUUUGUACAAGAUAUCCCCAUUCAUGAAGAAAUUACUAGAUAAUCUUCUGAGAGUCUUCUUAUCUUUGUUGGAUGCUCCAGGAGGAUACUCUCGAGUUUGGAGAAACACCUUAAUAUCAUGAAACCAAGGUUUAUCGUCGAAAACUGCUUCAGCGGCAAACACAUAAGCGGGUCUAUCAAGGAAUUUGACACUGAUUAGUAGCACGUCAUUGUGAUGAUUCACCUUGAUCAUUGAAGACAAAGUAGCCAAGGCAUCAGCCAUCUGAUUCUCAUCCCGAGGGAUAUGAUGUAAUUCCACUUUGUUGAAGAAGGUCAAUAAACGUCUUGCAUAGUCUCGAUAAGGUAUUAGUCCUGCGUGAAGAGUUUCCCAUUUUCCUUUGAUCUGGUUGAUUACAAGAGCUGAAUCUCCAUAUAUUUCGAUGUUCUUGAUUCUUAGAUCAAUGGCUUCUUCAAUACCCAUGAUGCAGGCUUCAUAUUCAGCGAUGUUGUUCGUGCAGUCAAACCGGAGUCUUGCUGUGAAAGGGAUGUGAGCACCCUUAGGAGUAAGGAGUACUGCCCCUAUGCCGUUGCCGUAUACAUUGACAGCCCCAUCAAAUAUUAAACCCCACACUGAAUCUGGAUCAGGUCCUUCUCCGAAUAGUGGCUCGUCACAAUCUUUCAUCUUUAGAUACAUAAUCUCUUCAUCAGGAAAGUCAAACUUGAUAGGUCGAUAGUCUUCAAGUGGUUGGUGAGCUAAGUGAUCAGCAAGAAUACUGCCUUUAAUUGCCUUCUGGGAACGGUACUCGAUAUCAUAUUCAGAUAGUAGCAUCUGCCACCGUGCAAUCCUUCCUGUCAAAGCGGGCUUCUCAAAUAUGUACUUGAUUGGAUCCAUUUUAGAUACCAGCCAAGUAGUGUGAUUAAUCAUAUAAUGACGGAGGCGUUUGGCAGCCCAGGCUAGAGCACAACACGUCUUCUCGAGCAUGGAGUAGCGAGAUUCACAUUCAGUAAACUUCUUGCUUAAAUAAUAAAUGGCGUGCUCUUUUCUUCCGGUUUCAUCUUGUUGUCCGAGCACACAACCCAUGGAAUUUUCUAGCACUGUUAGGUACAUGAUCAAAGGUCUUCCUUCAACUGGAGGGAUGAGAAUCGGUGGUUCUAGCAAGUACUUCUUUAUGCUGUCAAAAGCCUUCUGGCAAUCCUCGGUCCACACAAUACCUUGUUCUUUGCGGAGUAGUUUGAAUAUCGGCCCACAAGUUGCAGUCAUAUGAGAAAUGAACCGGGAGAUGUAAUUUAGUCGUCCAAGAAAACCCCUUACUUCUUUUUCUGUUCUCGGAGCAGGCAUCUCUCUGAUGGCUUUGACUUUGUCAGGAUCUACUUCGAUGCCUUUCUGGCUGACAAUGAAACCUAGAAGCUUUCCGGAUCUAACACCAAAAGUGCAUUUGUUGGGAUUCAGACGAAGUUUGUACUUCCUCAGGCGCUGGAACAUCUUCUGUAGAUACUUGACAUGGUCUUCUUCAGUAAUUGACUUGACUAUCAUAUCAUCCACAUAGACUUCAAUCUCUUUAUGUAUCAUAUCGUGGAAAAGAGUAGUCAUACCCCUCUGAUAAGUAGCUCCGGCAUUGAUUAAACCGAACGGCAUUACUUUGUAACAGAAAGUGCCCCAAGGUGUAAUAAAUGAUGUUUUCUCUCUAUCUUCGGGUGCCAUCUUGAUUUGAUUAUAACCGGAGAAUCCAUCCAUGAAUGAGAAGACUUUAGACUUUGCAGUACUGUCAACCAACACGUCAAUAUGAGGUAAAGGAAAGUCGUCUUUCGGGCUAGCUUUGUUUAAAUCACGGUAGUCAACACACAUUCUGACCUUACCAUCCUUCUUUGGAACAGGCACUAUGUUAGCUAACCACUGGGGGUAAUUUGAUGUGAUGAGGAAACCAGCGUCGAUCUGUUUCUGUACCUCUUCUUUGAUUUUGAGAGCCAUGUCAGGACGUGUUCUUCUCAACUUUUGUUUGACUGGCGGACACUCAGGUUUCAAAGGUAGGUGAUGUACCACAAUAUCAGUGUCUAGACCCGGCAUAUCUUGGUAGGACCAGGCAAACACAUCAACAUAUUCUUUGAGGAGCUCUAUUACUUGCUUUUUAACACUUGUUCCGAGCGAUGCCCCAACCUUGAUUUCUUUCUUGUCUUCUUUGGUGCCCAAGUUAAUCACUUCUAGUUCGUCCCCAUAAGGCUGAAUGGUCUUCCUCUCUUGUUCGAGUAGUCAAGAGAUUUCGUCAGGGAUCUCUUCAUUCUCUUCUUCCUCCGCCUCAUACACAGGGAACUCAAAGUUGGGAGAGAUCAUAGGGUUAUGUUGUUCAACGGGUUCGUCGAUUUCUAAUCUGCACAUGUGAUGGAUGAUUUUUAGAAAGAAGAUACAUGCAGAUUUUUUUGAAAAUUCAUGUUGGGUUUUUUUGUAUUACCACUUUUCAGAAAAGCAUAAAAGAAAAUGAGACAAAACAUCGGGAAAAAAAACGACGUUUUUAUUUUAUUGAUGAUAAUUUCUUGAAACAAAAAGCCCUAGAUAAGCUCACUUUCACUUGGGGCGGGGCGAAAGGAUGUUUUUUUUUUGAAAAGAAAAGCAUAAACUAGACAAAUGCAUUACUUGGACAAGUGAGCAACAAAAGGGACAUCUACAGCAACCCAAUUGUGGCUGGAUACUCCUGGCGUUAUAAAACCUCGUGGCACACUUUCAGGAUCAUCUUCAAUGAUUGCAUGGAUAAAGCCCGAACUGUGGAAAGUGCCCUUCUUUGCUGUGGACAAACUAGUAGAUGGGAAGAAACCCAAACCUUCUCGGUGCUUGUUUUCUGGAAGCUCUAUCAGCUUUCCCCAGCUUGUGGACCCCCCUGCUUGUAUGACCUUCUGAGCAUCUUUCAGAGACGAGAUAGAGGCUUCAUUCCUCUUGGUAUUCUUAUCUUCUAUAGUAAACCCUUGAAAAGGUGUCCCUUCGACAUCGUCUGCCCCAAUGAAAGAGAAAGAUGACAAAUGACUCACCAAUAAAGCCUCUUCACCGUUUACAGUUACUAGCUUCCCAUUCUUCACAAACUUCAGCUUUUGAUGCAGCGUGGAGGUGACAGCCCCUGCCUCGUGAAUCCAGGGUCGACCCAGUAGGCAACUAUACGAAGCUUGAAUGUCCAUGACUUGAAAAUUAACUUGAAAAACUUGUGGCCCAACUGUGAUAGGUAGAACCACCUCACCAAGGACAUCCUUCCUCGAGCCAUCAAAUGCUUUCACCAUUACCCCACUUCGUCUCAAAGGUGCGUCUUGGUAAGCGAGUUGGGUAUAAGUUGUUUUGGACAAUACAUUCAAAGAUGAUCCAGUAUCCACCAGCACUUUUGACAAAGCAUCGGUUUUACAGUUCACAGAUAUAUGCAGCGCCCGAUUAUGGUUCCUUCCUUCUGCUGGGAGCUCUUCAUCACUGAAACUCAAGUUGUUGCAUGCAGUGAUGUUCCCUACUAUUCCGCCAAACUGACCCACCGUUACAUCAUAAUCCACAAAAGCUUGUUCUAAAACCUUCAUUAAUGCAUCUUUAUGGGCCUCAGAAUUUAGUAAUAAAGACAUUAUGGAUAUUUUGGAUGGAGUCUGCAUCAAUUGGUCAACAACCUUGUACUCGCUCUUCUUUAUUAACUUGAGAAUCUCAUCAAACUCUGCACUUGUACCAGCCCCAUUGGGUUGAUCCACUUCUUUGGCGAUACCAGCAUCUUUAGUCCGAACCUCCUUAUUUAUUGUAGCAUCAAUCUUCUUUGGGAACACUAUGGGAACAACGCGCCCAUUUCUCAGAACUCUACUGUCUUCGACAAUAUUAUUCACACUAGAUAGGGGCGGUAUUGGAACCUCACGACCCUCUUCAAUCAUGGUGGCAUUGUAUUUGUAUGGAAUGGCUUUUUCAGAAGCAUAUGGCAGUGGACCCGGUAAGCAGAUCACCAGAGGGGUGAUAGUUGACUUUCGACUGUCAUAAAAUACCUCCAAAGGUCCUUCGGGAGUUAUUACACACACAUCAUCACACUUCCUUUCGACCACAAGCUCUCCUCGGUCUAGAAGCCCUUGAAUAUCAUUUCUUACUUUCUGACAUCCUCCGGAGUUCAUAAGGCAUAUUUCACAGAGAUCAUGAUCAUGCUCAAAAAGGUCGACUUUGCAUAACUUGGCAUGUAACGGGACCAAGGGUGUUCUGAUAUGUUGAACAUUCAGAAUGGGACGAGUCUUUUGACAAUCUUCGAUCAUGUUGACUGUUGCGGCACCAUGAUUCGGCAAUGGGUUUGUUUGGACAUUUGGCGCCGAGUCUGUGAAAGUUAUUUUUCCAUCAUUGAUCAACCUCUGCACUGUGCUUUUAAAGGCAUAACAAGUUUCAAUGUUAUGGCCACGGCCCCCUUCAUGGAAGUCACAAGUUUGGUCAAGUCUAUACCAAGAUGGUAGUUUUUCUGGGAUAGGAGGAGCUGUUCUAGUUUGGACAAGGUUUUUCUUGAGUAAGCCGGGAAGUAAUUCUGCAUAGGUGACUGGUAUUGGGUUAAUCGGCAUUCUUGGUGGUCGCGGUUGUUGUGGGCGUUGUUGAUAAGGUUGUUGUUGGAAAUUUUGUUGAGGGUAUUGUUGGUAUGAGAAUUGUUGGUAUGGUUGUUGUUGGUAUGGUUGUUGUUGGAAAUUUUGUUGUUGGGCAUUUUGUGGUGAAGGAUUUUGUGGGAAUUGAGGAUAUUGUGGUAUUUGAGGAUAUUGUGGUUUUUGAGGAUAUUGUGGUAUUUGAGGAUGGUUAUUUGUUUGUUGAAAAGGGUGAGAGGUGGGUGUGAUGGCAGCAAUGUGUUGAUAGGCUGGAUAAGUUUGUUGAGGCCCUCCAUGAGUCACCAUACCGACUUCUUGUUCUUUCUUCCUCGGGAAAUGGUUCCCGGUCUUCUUGGUCCCACUGGCAGGAGUUGUAUUCUUUACUAAGCGUCCUUCUCGGACUCCUUCUUCUAACUGGACUCCCAUACCAACCAUCUCCGCGAAGCUCUUUGGUGUACUCCCGACCAUCUUUUUGUAAUAAAAAUGAUUCAAAGUUUUUAGGAAGAGCUUGGUCAUCUCUUUCUCCUCAAUUCGUGGGCUGACUUGGGCAGCGGUGUCUCUCCACCGUUGGGCAUACUCUUUGAACGUCUCUUUAUCUCCCUGAGUCAUGGCUUGGAGAUCACUUCGGUCCGGAGUCAUGUCUACAUUGUAACUGUACUGUUCCACAAAAGCUUCACAAAGGUCACGGAAAGUUUGAACCCUUGUUUUGUCUAGGUUUGUGUACCACUUUGAAGCAGGGCCGGUCAAGCUUUCUUGGAAGUAGUAAAUAAGAAUCUGAUCAUCCUGGGCAUACGCAGGCAUCCUUCUCACAUACAUUUUUAGAUGUUCCUCAGGACAAGAACUUCCUUUGUAUUUCUCGAAAUCUGGGAUCUUGAAUUUGUGAGGUACCUGCACACUCGGUACCAAACAGAGAUCGUACGCAGUCUUCCCAAAUUUCCCUUUUUCACGGAGGGCUUUCAUGUCUCGGCGUAGUUCAUCAUACUUUUCUCGUAGGUCGCUUACUUCCUCGUAAGCCUCUACAUUCCCUGAAUGAAAGAUAGGUUCUUCAGUUUGCGGGAUUGUAUGUAUCACAGGUGCUGAGUAGGUCAUGGUGGCUGGAGUGACCCUCAUGGCAGGUAGGGGUACUUGAGCCGUGUACUGGUGAGUGGGCAUCUGAGCUUCACAAGUGAUAGGACGAAAUAUCUCUCCAGCAGUGAAAGGUGGAAACCAAGGCGUGGAACGUUGCGGAGCGGACUGCGUUGGAGUGUCAGCACAUAGUGUCCAAGAAGAAGAUGCCUCGGCCUGAGUUCUGAUAGGAGGAGGAGGUGGAGGUGCUUGUGAUCGGGCCUGCGCUUCUGUUACGGCCUGAGCUUGAGUUUGCGCUUGUGCCAAUGCUUGCGCUUGUGCUUGAAUCUGUGCUUGAGCUUGAGUCUGAGUUUCUGCCAUUGUUUUUAUUAAUUCAGCCAUCUCGUCCAUCCUAGUCUGCAUGACUGUCAAUUCUUCACGAAUUACCCGAUUUUCCUGCUCAAGAUAAUCCAUCUUCUUCUUUACGUUUGCUCGAGUGUAGUGAGUACGGGUUGACUUGUAGAUGAUACGUGGGGCCACCUUUUGAAACGAGUUGACCUUUUUCUUUCUGGAAAAGAAAGUUUGUGUGAGACUUUGACUUGAGACUAUGAAAUGCAGGAUGAUGCAUGAUUUUUAUGCAAAAAUAUAGACGUAUUUUUUUAUCGAAGGACUUAUAGAAAGUAUUUUUGUAAAUAUCAUAGUUGAGAAUUCCAUUGAAUAAUUUGCAUACUACGAGAUAAUUCCCUUUCUAAAUAAAAUAAGAUAAAUAUCUAACUUAAAGCUAAGAAAAAGAAAAACUAGGAACUCUCAAGCUCUUUGAAGUGGACUAUUCAUCGGAAUCUGAAUGUGCAUCCUUGAAGAAUUCCCAACGCUCCCCUGCGCUGAUAAAUUGUGAUAGCCUUGUGCUCUGAGCUCGGAUCUGAACAUUCUUUUUUACUAUUUGUCGUCUCAACUUGUGAACCUCAUGCUCUCGUUGCUCUAUCUCACCACUCAUAGUUUCCAUCUUGAGCAUAGCUUCAUCAUACUUCCUUUUCCAGGUAGCACCCACACAUUCCGAUCGGGCCAACUUCUCUUGACAUUCCUCCACAGUUGCGGGGGCCAAGGGUAAAGCCGGCGCUGGGGUUGUUGAAGAUAGGUACCUCGGCAAAUGAUAUGGUAAGACCAGAUCGGAAGCUCUAUUGAUGACCCAUUGAGUGUAAGACCCCUGUAAAGAGUCUGAUCUCCUCGCCAACUGGCUUCUAUUGAGUGUGCGAAUGGCAUGCCAUGCUUGGACAAAUCUCCCUCUUUUGUUUGAGGGAUCUUCAUGGUUGAAGUAGAAUUCACCCUGUAAGUAGAUGUUAUCUGGCUUAGCUUCCAUUGGACAUCCGAACUGACGUUUGGCAAGGAUAGGAUUGUAGCUGAUUCCUCCUUACGUACCGAGAAGGGGUACAUUUGAGUAUUCUCCACAACUGACAAUGAUGUUCGUGAAGUUACAAGUGGCACGGUACCAGGUUAUGUCGGAUGGGGUAAGGGACAUGAUUCUUUUGGGCCAGGAGAGAUUUUCUGGGUUGGCUUGAAAGGAGUGGGUCUGAGGUAAGUGAGAGGUAAACCAUUUGUAUAGUAAGGGUGCGCAACCAAGGAUAGCUCCGCGACCUACUUGGGUUCGAUCGUGAAUGGAAUGAUAUAUAUCAGCUAACAAUGUGGGGACUGGGUUCUUUGUGAGGAAAAUUUGGAUGGCAUGGAUGUCAACAUAGUUAUCAAUAUUUGGGAAUAAUACUAGGCCAUAGAUGAGUAAAGCUAGGAUAGAAUAGAAGGCCUCAACAUUGUUUGUUUUGGAGAAAUCGGAGGCUUGUUGGUAAAGAAAUUUAGUAGGUAAGCUUGGGAAAUUCCCUUUUAGGGUGAGUUUUUCUUUUAUGAGAGAGGUUUUGAGGUGGAGGGCGUUUGCAAUAGUGGCAGCUUUGGGAAAGGGUUCUAAGCCAGUGAAAGGUACCUUAUCAAGUACGGGUAGGCCAAUUAAGUGAGAGUAUUCUUCGAGGGUAGGCAUAAGCUGGUAGUCGGGAAAGGUGAAACAGUGGUAAGCAGGGUCAUAGAACUGGACCAAGGUCUCCAAGCACCCCUUAUCGAUAUUUGUCCAGAGGACACCAAGCAACUUCCCAUGACGAUCACAAAAAUUCUCCAAGCUAGUUACUUCAAAUGCAAGCUUCUUUAAGUUCUCUAGAUCCAAUUUCCUGAAUGUAAACUUCCUAGUAUUUCUUCUUUCCAUGCCUUUGAUAUUUACAAAAACAAGUAUAAGCCCUUCGAUAUUUUUUGAUGAAAAAAGAUAAAAUUAUGAAUGAAUGCAUGUAUGCAUGAUUAUGCGUAGGUUAAGCUCAUCAUGUUGGAGUUUAAAGGUAAUAACCCCCAUUUGGUAAGGACUAUGGUUUCAUUUGUACCUGUAUUACGGGUUCUAUCCAGUUCCCAAAGUCAUCAACUACCUCCGAAUGUUAUCAGGUUACAAGACUACUCUUGAUCCAAUAAUAUCCGUAGGAAAGUUUCAUUUGAGUGUAGUAUCGCGUAUCAACUAAUUCAAGACUACUCUUGAUUAGCCACCGCACUACGUCCUAAAAAGGCUAAGAUGGGUUAAGGGUAACUAAAGGUCCUCAACUUCGACGGUCACUUGAAAAUAUAAUGCCAACACGACUAUUCAUGCCAACAUAGAUUACUUUCAAGAUUCCUCCAUUGAGUGGGGUUGUACCACAUGAACCUAAACACGAGACUUGACUCUCGGAAAGGCACUUUGGUUAUACCACCGUCCUAUCUUAUGUUUCUCUCAAGCCCGGGUGUAGGGCUUUAUCUCACCACUCAUAUUUAAAAAGAAAGGAAGAAAGAGAGAAGAUAAAGGAUAUAUACAAUUAUUUCCAUCUUUAUUUUUUGUUUUUGUUUUAAGCAAGUUAUAGCACAAAGAAUUAAAUAAAGCCAAGUUAGGCUCAACCCUCUUAGGGGGGGUCCCCAGUGAAGUCGCCAUUUCUGUCGCGUCAUUUUUUGGAGAUCAAGGCUAUUUGAUUAGCUUUUGACUCACUAAUUAUUUCACGACUGAACAUUUAAUUUUAUUAAGAAAAGGGGAAAAAAGUUCAAAUUACCCCUAUUUGAAAAGAUUUAGGGUUCGGGGGUUAGUUACAUAAAGGGAAGGUAUUAGCACCCUCUAUGUCCGUAGUACUCUACGGGAACCUCUUGGUUUUAUUUAAUUUAAUGUGCUAUAACUUGCUUGCUUUUGAAAAAGAAGUUAAUGUGAUGAUUAAAAGAAAAAGAAAGUGAGACCUAAUUUAUCUACAUUUUUUAUUGUUUGGAAGGACAUGGUCCUCUGCCUACGUACCCGUGAAGGAUCAAAACCUCGUAGUUCGGGGUAGAAAACGACGUUUGAUUGGUUUUGUGUUUUUUAUUAGUUUUUGAAAAAAGGUUUAAAAAAUAAAAGCCAAGUGGCAAAUAAGAAUUUGUUUGUGUUUUUUAUUAAAAAAAGAUAACUCGAAGUAUGAUUAAAUUGAUUGAUAUUUGAUUAAGAAAAUAAAAUGAAAAAAAGGACGAUCACUUGAUUUAGGAUCAAGGUUUAUUAUGAAAAAAUGUUUUUUGUGAUUUUUGGUUAUUUGCAUGUUUUUUUUUGUGAUUUUUGGAUAAAUAUAUAAACUAACGGAGCAUAAAGAAUAAAAGCGCGGCUACCCUAAGUUAGAAACGUAAAAUCUAUGACUAUUACAUAAAAAGCCUAUUUACAUUCUAAGGUCUGCAAUAAAAAUUAAAAUGCUAAAAAUAAAUAAACAAAUACGAAAAGGAAUAAGGAAAAAUAAAAAAAAAAUGGUCCAAACACAAGGUGGGGUGCAGUAGUAAAUAGGGGUGUGCAGAAAGCAAAAAAAAAAGAAUUGGGCUUUAAGGAAACGAACCGGGUCGCGGGUCGUGGGUCAUGGGCGACCCGGUUUGGGGGAUAUAUAAGGGUUGUAGGGUUUUUUCUUUCAUUUUUCAUUUUUCUUUCUCUCUCUUAUCCCUCAAAUCCUCUCUUCUCUCUCUACUUCUUUCUUCUUCUCCGGUUGGAGAUGGGGCGGCCGGGAGAAGUCCGGCGCGGUGGCCGGCGAGCCAUCGCGGCUGCGCCGCCGCGCCGGAGCUAAAAAGCUCCUCCUUUUUUUGAUUUUUUUCGCUCUUUCUCUUCUACUUCCCUCCCUCUGUUCACUUCUAGCCUUCAAGUUCCCAAAACCUUUACCCAAACGCCUAGAUCUAAAAAAAAGAAAGAAAUUUAUACCUUUUGUUUAAGAAAUGGAUUCGGCUUUCUUGUGGCCGGUUCUGUGAUGUGAUUGUCGCUGUUGUAACGGUUUGCGCGCCUCUGUGUGUGCGUGUGUGUGUUGUGUUGCGCGCGGCCGUGUUUCCGUUUCUAUGCGUGCUUCUCUGGUUCCUGUUGUGCGAUUUUUGUUUCUUAUGCGCGUCUCUCUGGCUUCUGUUGUGUGUUGUGUUGCGAUGCCGUCCUCUGUUUCUUCGUGUUUUUCUUUGUUGUGCGGGUCUCUAUUUAUAGAGUGAGUUUGAGGCUAGGGUUUGUUACUGAUGAGCAAAAAAAGCAGUGGCUUGUGGAGGAGAAAAAGGGAAACGCGUCUGUUUUAUUGGAUUUGUUUCAGAUGAGGCGUGAAUCCGGAUUUGGAUUAGAACAGCAUAUGCGUGAUGCUGUUAUCUUGAACCUGGACUUUUUGGAUUUUGGACUUUUUGGACUUAAAAAGAAAAAAUAAUUAAAAGGAUAAUAUCUACAUUUUUGGUUUUAAAUAAAAAAGAAAAAUUUUUAAAAUGGGAAUAAAAGAAAUUUAAUCUAACUUGGACUAAAAUUAAAAUUAGAGUUCUAAAUUAAAAGAUGGAAAUAAAUAAUUAAAGACUGAGAGAAGAGGGCCCGAUUCGGAACUUUAUGAGGUAUUUCAAAAUACCUCCCUGCCGAAUUUUUUACUGAGACGUGAGACCGAUCAGGUUUAAAUGGCGUGUGUCAGUGAGAUCUUGGGUCAAAAAUUGGGGUAUGACAAGUACCAUGUAGAAGAACCCAAUUCUCCCAAUCUUUGUUCGUGGAAGAACGUGAAUUGUUUGAAGAUUCAGAAUAAUUCUUUACCUCGACAUGUGAAAAAUGAAAUGAAUUACGAUCCUUCUGCUUCUUAGCAUGAUUCUUUAAUACAUUCAAAACCUCUUUUCUAUCUUUGACUGGCAUCCUUGCUACUCGUUUCAAGUUAUGGACCGGAUGUUUAAGACCUCGCUCGACCUUCCUCUUUCUAACCAGAUACGGUUGUGGAACCUCCUUGGUGUGACCUUUAUUUAAUUUUGAAGAAAAGAUGAUUCCAACAUCACCAUGGGAAAUAUGAGUGAGCCAUUCAAGACUCCACGUCCCCGUAUGUAUUGAACGACACCGAUUCGGCGUACAAGAAUUAGCAUGUGUUGAUUUAUUCUUCACAUUCACUGGCCAACCAUGAGAAGUUUCCUUAGCUGCUUGAAUGGGAUUGGAAACUGGAACAUUAAUCUGAUCCAUCGCCUCAUCCAAGUGUCCGUGAGUAUACACCGCCUCCUCGGACUUCCUGACAUCUAAAACCGGCUUCUGCUCACCAAUAAAAGAAGCAUCUUCAGCUUGAGGAUUUUCCUUAGAACACCAAUCCUUAUGAAGAUCAUUGACUAAAACCUCCAUCUCCCCUAGCACCUCAUCCAAUUCCGGAACAUCAUUAAAAUCAGAUACCGCAUCCUUCCUAGACUCAUCCAUAUCUUCUUAAAAAAUUGUAUCCUCCCCGAGGCAACAACCCCACUCCUCCUCCAAAUUCAAAGUGUAAUUGAGACCUCCACAAGGAUAUCCCUUGACGUAUUCACUACUUCCAAAAGGGGAGUAGAAAUGAGAAUACGUGCAAAAUCAAGCCUCGCCUUAUCCACCGUACAAUUGUCGACCCAAAUAAAUCUGCUACAUUCUGAAACACAUAAUUUGAAAAACGAUUCGUUCCAUGCAUGAAUGGGAGUACCAUACACAAGGAUCCACUCUCCCCCAUUCAUACCGAGCAUCUAACAACGUACAUUUAUGCAAAUAAAAAAAUAGCAUGCUAAAGAAGUCAAUAGCGUCAUUGAACACUUGUAACAUAUCGUCCGUUCCUAAGCAAUGCAAAAACACUUUAUGACCACCCAUAGGCGUAACCACGACGUUGUGGAAACUGGCAUCCUUGACCCGUUGUUGUAAGUCUAACGAAGAAUCCCCCUUCACCAACGUCGCAACUAAACACGCAGAUACCCAAGUAUGAUAGUCAGUAGCUAUUUAAUACACAGGUUUUUGCCGUUGUUCUGGUUGAACAGACUUGCAUUGCAUGGGAACCUCCUCUGUCGCCUUAAGAAACACCUUUCCUUCCACCUCCCUCUGCUCUUGUUCCACUCAUGUGCCAUUAGCCCCACAUGCGUAACCUCUCUCUUGCGGUUUCACCACCAUUGUAACACCCUUACCCUCCUUCUUCUUCUUUGACCUUCUUCUCUUCUUCCCUCCCCCCACCCCAACACUAACCUCCACCUGACCAACACACGCAGUACUGACUCCCUCGCCUUUCCUUCCCUUAUCGCCCUCCCCAGCUACCUCCUUCCCCUUCCUCUCUGUUUUUAUCUCGCUUCUCUUUUUGAUUCAUGUACUUUCUUUUUUUUCUCCCUCACCCCUCACAAUUAUCAUCGGCCUCACCUUCCUCCUAUCCUCCUCAACCCCACUGACAUUGUUAUCAACCAGUGUUUCCAUGUCAAACCUCGCGAAGGAGUACUUCAAAAACAUUUAAUUUAUUUUAAAAAAACAUUUAAUUUAUUUUAAAAAAAAAUUUACAUUGUUUGUAAUUUUAAAAACAAAAGUGAGUCUUCACCUCCCUUCCCUCCUAAACCCUCAAUACAAACACACCCUAAAGAUCAGUUUGGUUCAACGUAGGGGAUGAGAGGGGAUGGAUUUUAAUGGAGGAGGGAGAAAGGGAGGGGACGGAAUAUGAGGUAUUUUAAAUAAAUAUAUGUUUGGUUCGAAAGAAUGGAGAAAUUUUAAUUAAAAAUGUGUUUGAUUCAUAAGAGGAGGGAUUUUAAAAUUAAUUUACUGUUUUACCCUCAAACUUAAUUAAUAUACAAAAAUGUUUGUUUUUACGAUUUCAUAGACCGACAAAAGAUAAAAAAAAAAAAAAAAAAAAAUCAUCUAAUAAUAAAAGUUGUUAAAGGAAUAAUAUAACCUAAGAAUAGUAAAAUUAUUACAAGGAUGAGGAAUACUAGAGUCACACCCUCUAACACACUCCAAUAAAAAUUAGCCACUUCAUCCACUCUUUUAUUUCCUUUACCUAUUAACCUGUUGAACAGGUUGACAAACCCUUCUACUUAUUUUUUUUUAUUUUUUAAUAAUUUCUACAUUCAAAUGUCUCACACGGCGAUCCUGCCAGCCAUCGUCUCUGUCUCAUGCUCUUUUGGUCAUUUUCUCAAACAUCUUUAGUCCCCAUAGUUGAUUCCAAUAAAACUCAUUUGCAAUCCCAUCAAAUUGGAAUCAAAGAUUAAAAAUAUAUAAUGAAAAUAGAAUUAAAAUACAUUAGUUUGAGCUAACUUUUUCAUCACUUAUUUUACCCUUCAUUUAAACUAUUUUCUUUACUAAUUUAUCCUUUAAUAAUAUUAUUUUAAAUUUUAAUUUAAAAAUUAAAUUCUAUUAAAAUAGGAAAUAUCCCACUACGAUAGGGAUUUAUAUUAUAUUUGUUAAAUUAUUGUUGUUAUUGAAAAAGAAAAACAUUGUUUUUUGGGUUUGUUACUAUUCGAAGUCAUAAAUAUUUGUAUCUAUAAGGUAAAUUAAAAUCAAAAUUUCAUAAAAAAUACUAUUCAUAAUUUAGACGAGUUAAGGCAAUAAAAGAGCGGAAAAACAGGAACGUGAGUGUCCAUUUUUCGCUAGUGAUAAUAAAAGUGGUUACAAGGAUAAUAUAAUGAGUAAAUUACACUCUCCUUCCCUGACACAAGCUUGAAUUGCACUCCUCUCCCCUCUUAUGUUAAAAUAUACACUCCCCUCCCCUCUUAUUCAAAACAUAUUAGAAAUUUUUUCACACCCCUCCCCCAAGAGAAGCUUGAAUUACAUUCCCCUCCCCUCUUAUGUUAAUAUCUACACUUUACUCCAUCAAUAUAUUUUUUUUAUUUCUAAUAAUCUAGAAAAAUAAAUAAAAAUCUAACAUACUUCAUAAAAUAAUUGGUUUCAAUUGCUACUUUGUGGUGUCUCAUGGCUUUUAAUUGAUGGCAUACAACACCAUUGGUUUUUUUAAUUGAUUAAUACAACCUUGUUCAGCAACAAAAUAAUUGAUUCACACAACCUUUGUAAUGGCAGAAAACACCAAAUAUGAGAUUAAACAAACAAAUUAACAAGAUGUUAUAGGUUUGUAAUGGCAGAAAUUCACGCAACCUUUUUAAUGGUCAUACACUUGCGUAACAUAAGAUGUCAUAGGUUUAUUGAAAACUAACAAACUUUUUUUUGAGGAAAUGAAAAACUAACAAAUUAUUCACAAGAAAAUAAAGAGAGAACGGAUAAUUGUUGAAAGAAAUAUCGAUAGCUGAGCAAGGAUCAAAAACUUUCAAUAUCUGGAUAUGCAGAAUUGAGAUGAGAAUUACAAUUGUUAAUCAAUUAUUAUGAAUUAAUGACAGCCAUUAACACCCCACCUUAACAAUUAUUAUGAAUUAAUGACAGCCAUUAACACCCCACCUUAACAAUUAUUAUGAAUUAAUCACAACCAUUAAUUAUUUUUAAAAUGAAGAAUCUAGAUUUGGAGUAAGUGUUUAGAGUUACUCUUGGAGUCAAUGAUCUCUUCUCAUAAUAAUAGAAGUUGUUACAAAUAACAUAUUAUUAAUAAAAGUUGUUACAAAGAUAAUAUUAAAAUUUUAAAUUAAUCUAAAAAUAAUUUUGCCAAUGCAAUAAAAUUUUAAAGCAAUCAUUUCUCCUCCUUUCAAAAAAAACUCCAAUUUGAGAGAAAGAAAAAAGUGGGUCUCGAAGGGAUUUUGCUUCUCUCCUCUUCUAAAAAUUGAAUCAAACAUGUUAAAUUAAAAAUAUUAUCUCCCCUCCCCCCAAAACUCUCGAACCAAAUGAAACAAUAAUAUCUACCAAAGCUUGUUUUGUGGGUUCAACUUAGUUGUAUCAUCGUCUUAAAGAAUGGUUGUACACACAAUUUGUGAUAACUUUUUUUUUUUCUUUUUUAUUGAUUAAAAAACAAGAGAGUGAGAAAUAAAUAGAGAAAAUGAAAGAAUUUUUUUUUCAAAAUUUGUCACAAUACAUAAUUGUACCAACUUGAUAAUGAUAUCCCACCUACCAGGCUACCACUAAAAUCAAAGUGAGAGGAGACGACUUUUUUGUUAUUCUUACACUUUCAUUUUGGUAGUUUUAAUUUCUUGAGAAGCAACUAAUGGCAGAUAGUCUGAAGGAAACACUCCUCGCAAUCUCAACUUCUUUAAAGGUGUUGUUAGACAAGCUUGUUGAGGAAAACAUCCGCAGCACGAAGCUUGACGUUUCACUCUUGAAAAAUUUCAAGUCAACGCUGCUGAAACUUCAAGUUAUAGUUAAUUAUGUUGAGAAGAAACGGAUCACCACCACUGUACGGCAUUGGCUGGAUAGGCUGAGGUAUGAUGCCAUAGAAAUUGUCCAUUUGUUUAACGAAAUCAACACUGAGGCUCAUGUGCUGAAUGUUCUUCCUAUUCAUUUCAAACGCUCUUACUUGCGAAAAUUAAUUGAAAAAUUUGAAGGCUGGAGUUCUGGAGAACAGCUAGGUAAAUUAGGUGAAUGGAAUGGAACUCCUCCUUCACUUUCUCUUCUGGUUGAUGAAUCUCCUAUACAACUCGUCUCACUCUCAGCUUCUGUGAAGGUGUUGUUAAACAAGAUUGUUUCUAGUCAGUUCGUCGACAACUUCCACAGCACUAAACUUGAUGUUUCACUCUUGGAAAAGCUUAAGACAAUACUGCUCAGGGUUCAAGCUUUAUAUCAUAGCGAUGAUUUUCUGUGGGUUCAAGCUAAACUUUUUAACGAUGAUUUUAAGACAACACGGUUGGAUUUUCAAGAUGAUGACGUGAUACUUACUGUAUUGCUUUGGCUGGAUAUGUUGAGAAGUGCUGUCUUUGAAGUUGGCUAUUUGUUGGAGGAAAUCAACCCUCAGACAUUGCCUUGCAAAGUGGAAGCAGAGUAUCAAACCCUAACUACUCCUUCUCAGUUUUCUUCUUCUUUCAAAUGCUUUAAUGGAGUGACGAAUUCUAAAUUGCAAAAAUUAAUUGAAAGAUUACAAUUCUUUAGUUCACGAGCACAAGAUCAAUUUAGUGGUUCCAGUUCCAAAAGUGUUUGGCAUCAAACUCCUACAAGUUCUAUUAUGGAUGAUGAAUCUUGUAUUUAUGGAAGAGACAAUGAUAUAAAGAAACUUAAACAUCUUUUGUUGUCUAGUGACGGUGAUGAUGGUAAAAUAGGAAUUAUUUCCAUUGUGGGUAUUGAAGGGAUUGGUAAAACAACCCUUGCUAAGGUUCUUUACAAUGAUCCCGAUGUUAAGGAUAAAUUUGAGUUAAAAGUGUGGUCACAUGUUUCAAAAGACUUUGAUGAUGAUUUGCAUGUUUUGGAAACCAUUCUUGAUAACUUGAAUAUAAACAGAAAUGAAACAAGUGGCGUAAAUAUCAUUUACCCAAAAUAUUUGCUAGUAUUGGAUGGGGUAUGUGAUGCAAGAUCUAUCAAUUGGACAUUAAUGAUGAAUAUCACUAAUGUUGGUGAAACAGGAAGUAGGAUCAUCAUCACAACACAGGAUGAAAAAGUUGCACUAUCAAUACAAACCUUUGCACUACCCAUGCGAACCUUUCUUUCUGUCCACUACUUGACACCUUUGGAAAGUGAAGAUUGCUGGUCUUUACUUGCCGGGCAUGCAUUUGGAGAACAUAACGACCAACGCCAAUCCAAUCUAGAAGAAAUUGGCAGAGAAGUUGCAAAUAAAUGUUAUGGAUCACCAUUUGCUGCAGUAGCACUUGGGGAUAUUCUUCGCACCAAAUUGUCCCCAGAUUACUGGAAUUAUGUGCUACAAAGUGACAUUCGGUUAUUGAUAGAUCAUGAUGUUCGACCUUUUAUACAACUGAACUAUCACUAUCUUUCGACUCUUUUAAAAAACUGCUUUGCAUAUUGUUCAAUUUUUCCGAAGAAGUCCAUCAUAGAAAAAAAUUUGGUAGUUCAGUUGUGGAUUGCAGAAGGCUUAGUAGAAUCGUCCAUAAACCAGGAAAAAGUUGGUGAAGAAUACUUUGAUGUACUAGUGUCAAGGUCAUUGCUGCAUCAACAAUCUAUUGGUAAUGAGGAACAAAACUUUGAAAUGCAUACACUUGUCCAUGAUUUAGCUACAGAGGUUUCAUCUCCACACUGCAUCAAUAUGGGCGAACAUAACUUACAUGAUAUGAUACAUAAGCUAUCAUACAAUACAGGUACAUAUGACUCAUAUGAUAAAUUUGGUCAAUUGUAUGGAUUAAAAGAUCUACGUACCUUUCUAGCAUUACCAUUAGAAGAACGAUUGCCUCGUUGUUUGCUAUCAAACAAGGUAGUACAUGAGUUGCUGCCAACAAUGAAACAAUUGCGUGUGUUGUCUUUGACAAACUACAAAAGCAUCACUGAGGUUCCCAAAUCUAUUGGAAAUUUGUUAUACCUGCGGUACUUAAAUCUUUCUCACACUAAGAUUGAAAAGUUGCCUAGUGAAACAUGCAAGCUUUACAAUCUGCAGUUCUUGUUGUUGUCAGGCUGUAAAAGGCUCACUGAAUUGCCAGAGGACAUGGGAAAAUUGGUUAGUUUGCGCCGUCUUGACAUUAGUGACACUGCAUUGAGGGAGAUGCCCACACAAAUAGCCAAACUAGAAAAUCUUGAAACUUUGUCUGACUUUCUUGUCAGCAAACAUACUGGUGGAUUGAUGGUUGGAGAGCUAGGAAAGUAUCCUCUUCUAAAUGGAAAACUUUCCAUCUCACAACUACAAAAUGUCAAUAACCCUUUUGAAGCAGUUCAAGCCAAUAUGAAGAUGAAAGAACGAAUAGACAAGUUAGUUUUAGAAUGGGCUUGUGGUAGUACUUGUUCAGAUUCACAAAUUCAGAGUGUUGUACUUGAACAUUUGCGACCCUCAACAAAUUUGAAAAGUCUCACCAUCAAAGGCUAUGGGGGAAUCAACUUUCCGAAUUGGUUAGGUGAUUCGUUAUUUACCAACAUGAUGUAUUUAAGGAUCUCGAAUUGUGGUGAUUGUUUAUGGCUUCCACCCCUUGGACAAUUGGGUAAUCUGAAAGAACUCAUUAUUGAAGGGAUGCAAUCCAUACAGAUAAUUGGUACUGAGUUCUAUGGAAGUGAUAGUUCUCCUUCAUUUCAACCAUUUCCCUCCUUGGAGACUCUACAUUUUGAGAAUAUGCAAGAGUGGGAAGAGUGGAACUUGAUUGGAGGUAUGGAUAAGUUUCCUAGUCUAAAAACUUUGUCACUAAGUAAGUGUCCAAAACUGAGAUUAGGAAACAUACCUGACAAAUUUCCUUCUUUAACUGAACCUGAGUUGAGAGAAUGUCCUCUAUCAGUGCAAUCAAUUCCAUCAUUAGAUCAUGUAUUCAGCCAACUGAUGAUGUUCCCCUUGAAUUCUCUGCGACAGUUGACCAUAGACGGGUUUCCAUCUCCGAUGUCUUUCCCAACAGAAGGUCUCCCAAAAACCUUGAAAAUUCUUACAAUCAGUAACUGUGUGAAUCUAGAGUUCCUUCCUCAUGAAUACUUGCACAAGUACACAUCGCUUGAGGAAUUGAAAAUAUCUUAUAGUUGUAAUUCAAUGAUAUCAUUUACUUUGGGUGUUCUCCCGGUCCUCAAGAGUCUGUUUAUUGAAGGUUGUAAGAAUCUGAAGUCGAUAUUAAUUGCGGAAGACGCGUCGCAAAAGAGUCUCUCAUUUCUUAAAAGCAUCAAAAUAUGGAUUGUAAUGAACUGGAGUCAUUUUCCACAGGUGGAUUGCCCACUAUAAACCUUGUUUAUAUUGCAGUGUGGAAGUGUGAAAAGCUUAGUUCACUACCUGAAGCAAUGAGCUCUCUAACUGGCCUUCAAGAAAUGGAAAUUGAUAAUCUUCCGAAUCUUCAAUCUUUUGUCAUAGAUGAUUUGCCUAUCAGUUUACAGGAACUGACUGUUGGUUCUGUUGGAGGGAUUAUUUGGAAGAAUGAGCCAACUUGGGAACAUCUCCCCUAUCUUUCAGUGUUGCGAAUCAACAGUAAUGAUACGGUGAACAAGCUGAUGGUUCCAUUGCUACCGGUAUCGCUUGUGAGACUAUGCAUUUGUGGUCUUAAUGGUACAAGAAUUGAUGGGAAGUGGCUUCAACAUCUGACUUCUCUCCAAAACCUUGAGAUUGUUAACGCUCCCAAACUAAAGUCAUUGCCAAAAAAAGGAUUGCCUUCCUCUCUUUCAGUACUAAGUAUGACUCACUGUCCGUUACUGGAUGCAAGUUUGCGGAGGAAGCAAGGGAAAGAGUGGCGUAAGAUUGCUCACAUUCCGUCUAUAAUUAUCAACGAUGAAAUAAUCACAUGAUUUUCAUGUUCGGGUGAGUCUCCAUAGUACUUCUUUUUUGUUUCUUCCAUUACCUUCCAUAAUUAAUAUUGUUCAUUUCAAUAAUAACAUCAAAUUACAGUAUUACAACACAAACACUAACUCUUUUUUAAGAAUUAUAUCUGUGUCACUCCUGCUUCUGCCCAACCUUGAUGUUAGGAGAAGUCAUUAUAACUUGGUUUGCAUCCACGACCUGCAACCAAGUCCAGCUAAUGUUUUACUGAUAUGUAUGUACUAUUUUUGUCUAGUUGAAUUUAUAAAUAACUGAAUGGUACUAUUAGGAAUAAUUUGGCAUAAUCUAUAUUAAUACUGCAUGUAUUUUUAAAACUGAAAGCAUAUUCCCAACAAUUGUAUGAUCGAGAGCCUAAACUUUGGUCCUAGGUUUUGGAAUUCACCAUUGCAUGCACCCUUUGUCGGUCAUGUUUCUCUUUCUAUAAACCAUUAUAUUUUCAAACAAUCAACAGAAUGAAGUUUAUUAGCUUUGAAUUUCCGAACUUACAGUCCAAGGAAAACUCAUUACUGAAACCAUUAAACAACAAUUCUAUUUUAAUAGCCUAUUUGACAUACAACGGCAAUUGUUGUUGAAUAGUGCACUUGUUGACCAUAAACUUUUGUCAAUAGAUAAAUUAUAAUUUAGUGAAAGAAAAUGAACAAAACAGAACUUCAGUCCAAACAGGACUUCUUAUGAGGAUUCCUUAUGAUCCUUUUACUUAAGUGUUAUAUUACUUCCUUAUUAUUCAUGUCACAAACAGAACUUAUGUGUUGUUAAUCAAACAUUACGUUUCAGUAGAACAUGAUGUAGUCUUUAGUUCUGUUAAAUAUUCUGGUGUGUUGUUUAACAGAUUCAAGAGAAACAUUUUCUACUUCUUCGGUUUAUUGAAAAUAUGUGUUGUUUUGGCAUGUCUUAUGUUGGGAAAGAGCAUGUAAAAGAUCCUGCACAAAAAUUUAUAGGUAAAAUACUGCUGACCAUCAAAAUUAACUUGGUGGUAUUUUCUGGCCUUUUUUGCAGUAUGAAUCUCCUCCAUGGCAUCACCAAAACGAAGUGCAACUUUUUUUAUAAAGUUUUAACUACAUUUUCAAUUUUACUCAUUUUACAUGUAUGGUCUUAACUCAUAACUAUGAAAAGCAUCCCAAUAUUUUAUUAUAUGUUAUUUUUGCAUAUACAAAAUUACUUAUUCAUGUUAUGCAUCAGUGUUGAUCAUGAUAUGAUCGAUCCAGUUGGCCAGGCUUGACAUGUUCUAGUUUUCCUUGUUCAAAUUUACUUAGGUUUUUAUUAUUAGUGCCUAAAAUAUCGUCCACGCAUAAUUUUAUUUGCUUCUAGUUGGUUAGUGCAUUAGUCUAUUAAAAAUUGAACAACAUCAAACUUGACAUGGAAUCUGUAUUUAUUGUUUCUGUGCUAGGUCUGUGCUUGUUCAACUGAAGUUCGAGGUAUAUCCAAGCCUUCACAGAGAGAGAUCAUCUACAAUAGCCAUGGAAAAUUGAUCUUCGCAUUGAUUUCACAUGAACCAUGCCAGCAAGAGUUUAGUUGAGUAUAGCAACUAUCUACCCAGUUCUGUUAGAGACAUUGCAGAACCAUUUUCUUUUCAUUGCUUUCGAAAAUACACUGAAAUUUGAACCAUUUGCUUGAUCUGUAAAGAUGACCUGAGUUUAAUUAGUAACAAUAAAUCCCAAUAAAGUCAUUGCUAAGUGGCUCAAAAACAGAAUGAAUGAAAUGGCUUGAAUAGGUGAGUUUAUUAAUGCAGUUCCUAUUUCUAUAUAUGCAGAAAACUGAACAAAAUGAAAAUUAUUGAUUUGUGUAACUAGGCACUUCUAUUAGAUGAUUUAUUUACACGUGGUUUUGAAGAAUUCAGCAUAAAAGAAAUGAUUUGUGGCUUAUGUUAGUCCAAUGAAAAACACUCCAGUGAAGAUUUAUAGGCAUCAUAUUCGACACCUCAAUUAGUUGAUCAUCCUCUCAAAUAAAAAAACAUCUCUUGAAAUCUUUUGCCAUUUGAAUUUUGAACCAUUGACGAAAUUUGUCGUUAACUGUAACACCCAUGUCUAAGUAGUGUUUUGGUGGUGUGGAGUCAAAGAAAUGGAACUAUAAAUAUACAAACAGAUUGGGAUCAAUUGACAUGUUUUAUAAGACUGAGUUCUCCCAUCAAGAAACGGUAUCCAUAAUACACCACACAAAAAAAAAGGUACUGCAUUAUAGAAUUGUCAAUUGCUACUAAAUCAUCUAAUUGUCAAUUGCUAGUGGUAUGGGAUACUUGAAAGCAAGUUUAAAUCUGACAUGUUUUAUAAGACUGAGUGGCACUUUUUCUCACAUCAAAAAACGGUAUCCAUAAUUCCAAUAAUGUAGGAAUGACACUAAGGUGGACUGAUUUUGAGAAGUUGCAUUUUUGGACUAUGGAGGAGGUAGGUGUUCGAGACUCUAGAAGUUCGUACAGUUUAUCUAGUUGCUCCUUGGUGAAUGGAAAUGCAUUUGAGGAAGACCGUGACUCUUGAUCAGAAGUAGUUUGGAGUGCAUGACCUUUGGUUGAUGAGUUGAAAAUUGUCUUACCCAUCAUCACCCUUUUCACGUGUCUCUUCUCUUCCGAGCUUAGUUCUAUUCAUCCCCUUCAUUUUUCGAUCCGAUAAACUCAAAAAAUAGCAAGCUACAAUUCGAAGGUUUUUUUUCUUUGGCGAUGGUCAGUACGCGCGUGAACAGUACCUCCGAGUGAAUAGUGCGUGCGUGAAUAAUGUCAGAGAGGUGAACAGUUUUCGCUGGAUAAAAAACGGAAUAACACAAAAAACCGUAGUGACAGCGGCUAGGGUUUAUGCGGAAGCAAGGCCUCCAAAAUCAGGGCACUGAUGCAAUGAAAGAAACAAUAUGGGUGAUAAUGUGAGAGACCCUUUGUUUCAAAUAAGCUGUAAUCAUCCUCUUUGUUUUCUAAGUAGACGUAUAUGAGAGACCACUUUAGAAACAUCUUAGUGGUUAAGUCCUGGUAGGCCAUUCCUCUCUUAGAAUCACAUAUAGCAUGAGAUGUUGCAUCUCACAUAAAAUCUCCACAUAGUGCCACUCAUUCUCUGAAAAUACACCCUCCACUUUGCAUUGUAGAUCACAACAAAGCAGUUGGUUGGUCUUCUUUCUGGUAUAAAAUAUGUAUUCACAUGAAGAAAUAAGUUGCUCAGUGCCAUUGAUGAGUAUAUUCAACUUAAAAUCCAAUACCAUGUUUUCCAAAUGCUUCCCAGGUUCUACAAAACACCAUAGAAAUCUCUAGAUUCUAAGAAUAUCUAAGAAAAAUCUCUAGAUUCUUUUAAAUCAAAAUCUAUUUUUUUUUAAAACUGAAACAAACACACUCAUAGUUUCGUUAUGAAAAUGAACAUUUCUUGACCCAAAGACAUUUUUUUUUUUUAACAAGCAACCCAAGGACAUUAAAUUAAAAUCAAAUGUCAUUGUACUCGAUCCUUAAAUAUUAAGCAUUGUUUGUUCAGUUAAUAGUUCUCUUCUUCAUCAAAAUUUGAAAAGUCUCUUAAUUUAUUUAACACAUGGUUCAAAUCAGUUGAAUUUAGAAGUGUUUAAAUUAAAAAGAGAAACAAAAAUAUGAAUCAAAUAGCAAUGAAAUCGAGGGGGUGGUUCCACAACAUUUCUAAUUUCCGUUUCUUGAAUUUCAUUUUUCAAUCGCAUUUGAUUUCUAUUCGAUUAAUGAAAUCGAUUUAAUUAUUUGUUAGGUUAUAUAUUGAUCUAUUCAUGCCUUUCUCUCUCAAAUUUUCAUUGUGUACUUACUCUCUUUCACUCUAUUGUAUUUGACCAAUGAGAAGAGGGAAGAUUGUCCCUAAAAUUAUCGCAAAAUGGUAGUACAAAUAUAUUACUCAAUUUUAAACCUUAUAUAUCUAGUUCAUUCAUCUAAAGAAAGUACUACUUCACUCAAUAUUAACACCCAAGUAUUGAAAAACUUGAAGACAGAAAAUUUUAACACACCUGUAUUUGCAUCUCAUCUGCAAAACUGGAGCAAUCCUUCCAACAAAGCAUACAGAUAUGACUGAAAUGUCAGAUGGUAAUGCCUCAGCAUUUCAACAUAACCAUGGAUAAUCGACAAGAACAAGAACCAUAAAAUGUUAUGGCCACGUUGUUAAUUCCCCUAAACAUUUAGUUUUACACACAUAGUAAGUGAAACCAUAUAUCAUGAAUACAAAUACCAAAAUUGAUUGCUACCUCCAAUAAUGAUGGACAUACAAUAGACAAACUCAGGAGACAAACUUAGAUGCUGUCAGUUAGAUACACUUGGUUAGACCAUAGUGCAGAUUUAAGAGUUUUUAACAACUUUAAGUAUCUAAAAGAGGAGCAACAAAAAUCACCUGAAAUACAUAAUUUUGGAGAUAAAAAAAAAGAGGGGAAAAAAUGACAUCCAAAACUAAAUAUGGCACAGAAAAACUUUUAAGCCUUCGUCUCCUCAGCAGCGGUUUCAAAAGUCUCCCCGGGGACAAGAUCUGGUACAGCAUCAUCAUCAUCCUCUUGUGCUGCGGUUGCAUCAGCUCCUGCUUCAGGAGCCUGCUUCUGAAAUUGCUCUGCUAGCUUCUUCUGAUUUUCCAAGUUAUCUGGCCCUGCAUUUUCCAGAAAAUAAGAAUAUAAGAUUAUAAAUAAAUUAACACAAAAUAUAAUCUAGAUUUGAUAAGAUGUAAGUCACAUACCUAGUUGGUGAAUGAUGUUGGGGAGAAUAUCCUGCAACUCUGCGAAAGGGAAAGUUUAUUUAAGUGAAAUGUCAGUCCAGCAUGAAAUCAGAUCAAAAUCGAAUGGAACACUAAUGUCAGGUCUCACACUCGAAAUGAGGAAAACAAUGCAUGGUAUGGUACACUGCAAAUUGUACACAUUAAACAAUGAUUCUUAUGAAGCCUACAAUUUCUGAACAUUGAUGCAGACAAAGCUUUUGAUGACUCAUUCACGCAUAAUGUUCAAAGAUGUUAACAGUGUUCUAUGAUAGAUGUUGCAGUUUCGUGUACCACACUAGGAUAUGAAGAAUAAGAUAUAUAUGCUUACUCUUUGUUUGAGGAGAACUGCUAACAACCCAAGUAUUGGCAGCAAUAGAUGCUUGUACUGCAACCAAUUCAAGUUCAACGGUUAGUUUUACUUAGAUCUUAAAAUAAAAUAUAUAAAUAAGUAUCGUGAAUUAAUAUUACCUUUGGCAGGGAUACCAUUCACUCCAAUUCUCUUCAGAGUGCUUUGAAGCCUUUUGUCGUCUGUAGUAGCUGUCUUGUGGACAGCCUUCUUCCUAAAAUGAACAGAAAACAAAAACAUCAACAGAAAAAGAAAAAAAAAAUUAACUGAUACAAUCUUCCUAUCAGACAGAAAUGAUACAUGCACCUCCCUCCCUCAAAUUAAAAAUAAUUAUUUAUACCACUAAAGAAGUCAAUGACUAACACCUCAAAUUAUAUAGCAUGUUCUGAAGAUGCCAGUCAUACUCAUAUGUAAAUGUCUUGUCACAUUCCUAUAGCCAAUACAAGAAAGUUUUUUCCACAUAAGUUUCAAUAGCCAAUGCAAGAACAGUUCUUUCCAAACAAAGACAAUGAGCGUCUGGCAAUUUCAUGUUUGUGUACUAAAAAAUGCCAUCUCCAUUGAGACAAUUUAAUAUUAUUUGCCGUACACACUUGUCUACAUGACGAGAAAUUUAGCUUCACGAUUAUUAAGACGCAAGGUCAACAUUGGUGAAUGUGGAAUCACGAACCGUAGGAUUUUGAGUAUUAUUUGCUGCUUUUGAAUAUGCUGCUCAGUUGAAAAUGAAGAAUCGCAAUUGUUAAAAAACCUGAAAGCAACCUUUUCAUUUUCCGGGUAGACAUAUAUGAGAGUCCAUUGUAGAAUCCUUUUAUUGGUCCAGUCCUGGUAGGCCGUGACUAUCUUAGAAUCACAAGGCAUUAGGUGUUCCAUCUCACAUGAAAUCUCCACCUGGUUCCACUCAUUCUCAGAAAAUGCACCCUCCACUUUGGAUUGUAGUUCACAGCAAAGGAUUUGGUCCAUCUUAUUGCAUGUAUAAAAUAUGUAUUUACAUGAAGAAGUGAGUUUAUUAGUGCCAUUGAUGAGUAGAUUCAAUUUGAAAUCUAACACCAUGUUAUCAAAAUGUUUUUCAGGUUCUGCAAAACACCAUAGACCUACCCUGGGAAAAUUUUUUUUGAACCAAAAACACACUGAUGAUUCAUUGCUUCUGAGCUUAUCCACAUUUACUAUCCUAUGUGAAAUCCCAUAGUGAAACCUUUCUAAAUUUGCUGGAUCAAACAAACUUUGGCUCCACUGAGGACUACAUAUUUCUAUCACAUCGUUGGAGAAUAUAUUACGAGAAUACACAUUAAGGAAGCACUUCCUAUUUUCAUUGUAAACACACAUGGCAUUUGUAAACACUUUUGGACUCACUUUUUCUUCGUCUUCAGAUGAUCGAAAUCCUCUACAACCAUAAGAUGUUAUUAUCUCAAAUUUGGGCAAUAUGUAGCUUGGUAGCAUAAUCAUCCCUUGGCAUCCCCUCAAGAACAAACGUCGGAGCCCAAUCAGAUUCCCAAUUGUAAAAGGCAAUUGUUUUAGGGCAGUCUGGUCUAAAUAAACAUCUUUUAUAUUCUCCAUCACUCCUACUACUUCUGGGAAGCUCUCAAGACGCGAGCAACCUCUAAGAUCUAAAGUCUCUAAAGAUGGCAAGUUGAUGUAGGGAACCAAUAUUUCUAGUUGGGUGCAUCCUUGAGCACUUAAUAACACAAGCCUCUCAAGAAACCCAACCGAGUCAUGGAUUUUAUUUAAAUUAGUGCAGUAAUCAAGACAUAGUGCCCCCAAAUUUGGUACUCUAGAUAAGCUAGGCAUUUCAGUUAGGAGUUUGCAGCCUUCAAAAUCCAGAAAGCUCAACGUCUCAAACACCUACACAAAAAUAAAAAAUAAAAAUAUACAGAUGCGUCAAAUUUUUAAGGUUUCAACUGGACAUAAACACUAGUUCAGAUAUAAUUUCUUGUGUGAAAAGAAUACAUGCCUUGAGUGAUUCGAACCAUUUAAGGCAACUUUCAGGCAGAUUAAGUAUGACAAGAUUCUUAGGAUAAAAAUCAGAUGGCAAAGAGGAUAAUUGAUAUCCACUCCAAUCAAGCACUGACAAACUAUUUGGAAGAAUUUGAGGACCUCUGGAAAAUCCUGCGUUUCUAAUGAUAAGAAUUCUCAAGUUCUUCAUCUGCCCGAAGGCUUUUCCACACCAUUUCACUUUUCUGCCUUUGCGCAAAUCGGCGAUUAUGACUUCAAUUGUAUCAGUUCCCUUUCAAUUCCAAAUCACAAUUCGAACACAAAUUAAAGGUUUAGAAUCUUUCAUAUAUAUAUAUAUAUAUAUAUAUAUAUAUAUAUAUAUAUAUAUAUAUAUUUUGUUCUAUACAAAAAUCUCUAAAUCGUAAUGUCCUUUUCUGCUAGUGGUGAAAAAAUUCAUCAAUCAUUUGUAAUUGAGCAUGGAAAACUAACAGUCCUGUAAACAAACUAAAUACAUCUUAAAGAAAUGUAUACAUAUAACAAAAAAGGGGGGUAUUCUAAUUUUCAUACCUUGUUUUCUUCCAAAACACGAACAAUGUCAUCACUAAACCACAAUCUACUGCGUCUUCCAGGCUCCGACGUUGAUUCCCGCCUCACGAUUUCUCUGCCCAUGCCUUGAAUCAAGUCAUGCAUUCUCACACAACCAUUGAUGUCAAUUUUCAUGAGAGAUUUAUCAAUUAGCACUUGUAUACCAUCUUCCGCUUGAAAACCAUGCAAGUAUAGCAAUUCUUUGACGUAGCUUAUUUCAUAAGAAUUGAAGAAACACGCUAUGUCUAGAAAUAUACCCUUCUCGUCUUCUUCCAAAUCAUCAUAGCUAACUUUAAGAAUUUCGUGGAUGUCUUUACGAAGGACUCGUUUAUAUUUAACUAAUGAGGAUUUCCAUACACCUAAACUUUUUCCAAACAAGUGAGAACCUAUCACUUCCAAAGCCAAGGGAAGACCAUGACAAUAAGAUACUAAACGUUUUGCAAUAUCCACAUAACAUGGAUCAAUUUUUUUAUUUUUAAAUGCAUGCCAACUAAAUAACUCGAGAGCCUUUUCACUUUUUAGUUGUUUAACCUCAUAUACUUUCACAAUUCCAUGAGUGGCUAGCAAAUGCUUGUCCCUUGUAGUGACUAUAACCUUGCUGCCGAAGCCAAACCAGUCAUGUCCUCCUACAAAUGCCUGUAACUGCUGCACUUUGUCAACAUUAUCAAGAAUCAAAAGGACUUUCUUUCUUUGAAGCCUCCUUUUAACUAUUGACAUUCCUCUGUAAACAUCACCUACUUUAAUAUCCUUCUCCCCCAAUAUAUCAGCAAGUAGUGUUUCUUGGAGUUGUGCAAGAUCAUGAUUAAUUUCCCUCUUUCUUAUGUCAUCGAGAAAACACACACCUUCAAACUGAUCAGCAAUCAAGUUAUGCACAGCACGAGCAGUUGUUGAUUUGCCUAUUCCGCCGAUUCCAUAAAUGCCUACCAUGUUGACUCUCUCAUUCGAGUCAAAUCCAAGGAGUGAUGUCACUUCUAAUAUUUGAGACUCCAAGCCAACUGGGUUGGUUGCUACAUGCAAAGGAAUGCGGUUUAUCUUUACAGAGACUUCUUCAACUAUCUUUUCAAUAAACUUAUAUUCUGAUUCAAACCUGCACAAUUCAGAAGUACAUGUAGAUCGAAACCGAGCCAUUUAAUGUGCUUAAGUUUUUCACUUCAAACCAAAAUUAAUCACAUAAAAUUAUUAAUUCUUCACUAUAUUUCCUUCUACUAGAUUUAUAUGUUCACUCGUAAAGAUGUUGUGCAAGAUUGGACAGAUAUGGUAUAAUAGUGGAGAAGAGAUGUGAGAAAUGUUGUCAUGUGUCAUUAGAGAAAGCCUUUUUUUAGAAUGAAUCUGUUAGAACACAAAUCUUGUUCUAAAGAAAACAGAUAAAUAAAGGGCACACAAGAACAUAAUUGAUUGAUUUUCAAUCAAUUGCAUAGACUCGCUGCUAUAUACGAUCACAGGGUACAAUAUAAGUUUAAAUACUACAAUCCAAUUUACAAGUUUAUCUUUGAACCCUAACCAGCAGAUGAAUGGGCAAAGGACAUACGGUCCACUACAGUCGGCAACUGCCCAUUGCCCACUUUAUAAGUAAAUAUGAGUCAUACUCAACAUAAUAGAAUAUAUAUUUCCUUUACCUUCUGUGUUGGAGAACAAAAAAAAAAGGUAACUGAAAAAACAAAAAGAGAUGUAUUAAGGGGUGGUAUAACGUACCCUGGUUUGAAAUGCCAUCCAGAGACAUUUGCAGCUUGACGCAAAGCAUCCCUCCAUUUCUGCACCUUGCUAUCCUUCUCAUCUCCAAACCUCACCUCAUGUUUUGCAAAAGCUUCAGCAUAAGUUCCUGUUAGGUUUCGGAUUUGGGAUGGAUCCACAUCGUAAAAAACCGGCAAAAAUAACCUUCCUUGUAACAUUGAGCACUCAAGGAUGGUAACAAGUUCAGUCAAACAAAACGUUGAAGAUGCAUAGUUAGGGGAGAAAAUAGCAAUGAAAAUUCUAGAUUGUUUAAUGGCUUGAAGAAGAGUAGGUGUGAUUUCUUCUCCUUUUUGAAUUUCUUCAUCAUCCAUAAAAGUUUGUAUACCUCUUUGAUGAUGUAGAGAAUGGUACAGAUUACCAGUGAAGUUGUUUCUAGUAUCAAUGCCUCUAAAGCUGAGAAAGACAUCAUAAGUCCAAUCACAUGUGAAAGAAGAAAUAGAAGGUAGUGUUGAUUGUGACAUGAUAAUCAAUGAUUACUACUAGAGUCUAAACCAAUCAAUUAGGAAUGAAAUGAAGAAUCCUCUUAACAACGGUUGUAAUAAUGGUCAUGUUGCAAACAGAGAUUUUACAAAGCAUAACAAUAAAAUGCAAUUGAUGCGGUCUCAGUCGUAAUUAAGUCAUGAUUGCAAAGAAAUCAAAAACCUUAAUGCAUGUGAACCUUUUUCUAAAAACAUGUUCCUUCUCAUUCAUCCUUGCAAUUUAGGAGCGUAAAUGCGUGUUAGAAUUGACCACCUGCUGUAUAGGUAGUUUUGUGAUUCAUGGAUAUAGAGUUCGGUUCCUUCAAUUUGAAGGACAGUGUGAGGCGAUGCAUAUAUGUUUCUAUUUCAUGUCAAUCACUAGUGAUUGGGGAUUCUCGAAAUCAGUUUAAAUCUUGUGUUAUCUUCAUUUUUAAUGAGGUGCUACAUUAUCCAAUUUUAGCACCAACGAUAUUAAAAAACUUGGAAGAUUGACGAAUUUUAACACCUCUAUCUGCAGUCGCGCAGUCGCAUCUGCAAACAGGGAGGAAUCCUUCCAACAAAGCAUACAGGUAUGACUGAAAUGUCAGAUGGCAAUGCAUAAACAUUCCAACAUAACUACAGAGAAUCAACAAGAACAAAACCAUAAAAAUGUUAUGGUGACUUUGUUAAUUCCCCUAAACAUCUUGGUUUUACACACAUAAGUGAGACCAUAUAUUAUGAAUACAAAUACCAAAAUUGAUUGCUACCUCCAAUAAUGGUGGACAUACAAUAGACAAACUCAGCAGACAAACUUAGGUGCUGUCAGUUAGAUACACUUCGUUAGAUCAUAGAGCAGAUUUAAGAGUUUUUAACAACUUAAAAGUAUCUAAAACAGGAGCAACAAAAAUCACCUGAAAUACAUAAUUUUGGAGAGAGAAAGAGGAGAGAAAAAAUGACAUCCAAAAAUAAAGUUGGCACAGAAAAACUUUCAAGCCUUGGUCUCCUCAGCAGCAGUUUCAAAAGUCUCCCCGGGGACAAGAUCUGGUACAGCAUCAUCAUCAUCAUCAUCAUCCUCUUGUGCUGCGGUUGCAUCAGCUCCUGCUUCUGAAAUUGCUUAGCUAGCUUCUUCAGACUUUCCAAGUUAUCUGGCCCUACGUUUUUUCAAAAAAUAAGAAUUUAAGAUUAUAAAGUAAGAAAAAAUAUAAUACAACUUUGAUAAGAUGUAAAUCACAUACCAAAUUGGUGAAUGAUAUUGUGGAGGAUAUACUGCAACUCUGCAAAAGGUACAAAAGCAUUUGGGUGAAAUGUCAGUAGUCUAGCGUGAAAUCGGUUCAAAAUCAAAUGGAACACUAAUGUCAAGUCUGACACUUGAAAUGAGGGAAACAAUGCCAUGGUAUGGUACACUCCAAAUUGUAAAAAAAGUUUAAACAUUUCAAUAUGAUACACAUCAAACAAUGAAGCCUACAAUUUCUGAACACUGAUGCAGACAAAGUUAUUGAUAACUCAUCCGUGCAUAAUGUUCAAAGUUGUUGACAAUAAAUAAACAGCAUAGGCUAUGUUUGAUAAUGUUCCAUAAGGAUACGAAGAAAAAGAGAUGAAUUGUUACUCUUUGUCUGAGGUGAACCACUAACAACCCAAGUGCUGGUGGCAAUAGAUGCUUGUACUGGAAACAAUUCAAGUCCAGCAGUUAGUUUACUUAAAUCAUAAAAUAUAUAUAUGCACACACACACACACACACACAAAAUAAGUAUCGCGAAUUAAUAUUGUUACCUUUGGGGUUUAAAUACUGAAUAACCACGUCAUCCUUAAAGAUGUUGACUUCCUCAAUUGCAGGGAUACCAUUCUCUUCAGAGUGCUUUGAAGUCUUUUGUCGUCUGUAGUAGCUGUCUUGUGGAUAUUAUUACCAUUAGAUCAAUAAGUCACAUCAAUAUAAGCCCGCAAUUGCCGUUCCCCUAUAGCCAAGGAAGAGUUGUAGAUUUGUAGAUAUUCUUGUAAUAUCUGCUUGUGUGCAACUAUCUCUUUAGUUGGUGGAGGAGAAUCAGGGUUGUCAAAUAAUUUGUAAUCUUCCUCUUCAUUUUCUGGGUAGACAUACAGGAGAGACCACUUCAGAAUCUUCUUAGUGGUCCAUUCUUGGUGAGCCAUGGUCCUUUUAGAAUCACCAGGCAUGAGAUGUUCCAUCUCACAUAAAAUCUCCACAACGUUCCAUUCAUUAUCUGAAAAUACGCCCUCCAUUUUGCAUUGUAGAUCACAACAAAGAAAUUGGUCAGUCUUUUUAUGUGUAUAAAAUAUGUAUUGACAUGAAGAAGUGAGUUGCUUAGUGCCAUUGAUGAGUACGUUCAGCUUGAAAUCCAACACCAUGUUGUUUAGAUGAUUUCCAGGUUUUACAAGACACCAUAGAGCUAUCGUGGGGAAUUUUUUCCGGAACCAAAAACACACUGAUGAUUCACUCCUUUUAAGCUUACCCAGUUCAAGUUUCGAACAAAAUAGGUCAAAUUCAAAAUUCGAGAGAUCAUAACCAUGCUGGCUCCACCAAGGAUGACUUACUUCUAUCACAUCGUUGGAGCUUAUGUUACGAGAAUACACAUUAAGGAAGGACUUCCCAUAUUCAUUAUAAACACACAUGGCAUUUGCGAACACUUUUGGACUCACUUUUUCUUCAUUUUCAGAUGAUCGAAAUCCUCUACAACCAUAAGUUGUGAUUAUCUCAACUUUAGGCAAUAUGUAGCUUGGUAAUUGAAUCAUCCUUUGGCAUCCCCUCAAGUACAAACGUUGGAGACCAACAAGAUUUCCAAUUGUAAAAGGCAACUGGUAUAGGUCAGUCUGAUCCAAAUAAACAUCUUUUAUAUUCUCCAUCAAUCCUAGUACUUCUGGGAAGUUAUCAAGACGCGAGCAACCUCUAAGAUCUAAAGUCUCUAGAGAUGGCAAGUUAAUGUAGGGAACCAAACUUUCUAGUCGGGAGCACCCUUGAGCACUGAAUAACACAAGGCUGCCAAGAAACCCAACUGAAUCAUGGAUUCUAAUUAAAUUAAUGCAGUAAUCAAGACACAAAGCCCCCAAAUAUGGUACUCUAGAUAAGCUAGGUAAUUUAGUUAGGAACUUGCAUCCUUCAAAAUCCAGAAAGCUCAACAUCUCAAACACCUAUAAAAAGUAGAUGCCUCAAAUUGUUAGGAUAGAACUGGAAAUAUAUAUUAUUUAAUGCCAGCAAACAAUGUUCAAGAUUUAUUUUUUCUCUUUAAAAGAAUACAAACCUUAAGUGAUUGGAACCAUUUAAGGUGACUUUCAGGCAGGUUAAGUAUUGCAAGAUUCUUGGGAUUAAACUUAGAUGGUAAGGAGGAUGAUGGAUAUCCACUCCAAUCAAGAACUUUCAAACUAUUUGGAAGAAUUUGAGGACCAUUGGAAAAUUGUGCAUUUCGAACUAUAAGAAUUUUCAAGUUCUUCAUCGGCCCAAAGGCUUUUCCACACCAUUUCACCUUUCUACCUUUGCGCAAGUUGGCGAUUAUGACUUCAACUGUAUCAGUUCCCUUUCAAUUCCAAAUCACAGUUUGAACACAAAUUAAAGGUUUAGAAUCUUUCAUCUAUAUAUUUUGUUGUAUACAAAAAUCUUUAAAUUAUAAUGUCCUUUUCUGCUAGUGGUGAAAAAUUUCAUUAAUCAUUUGUACUUGAGCAUGGAAAACUAACAAUCUUGUAAACAACCUAAUACAUCUUAAAGAAAUGUAUACAUAUAACAAAAGAAAGGGGGGUAUUUUCAGAAAAAAAAACAAAAGAAAGGGGGGUAUUUUAAUUUUCAAACCUUGUUUUCUUCCAAAACCUGAACAAUGUCAUCACUAAACCAUAAUCUACUGCGUCUUCCAGGCUCCAACGUUGAUUCCUGCCUCACGAUUUCUCUGCCCAUGCUUUGAAUCAAGUCAUGCAUUCUCACACAACCAUUGAUGUCAAUUUUCAUGAGAGAUUUGUCAAUUAGCACCUGUAUACCAUCUUCCGCAUGAAAACCAUGCAAGUAUAGUAAUUCUUUGACGUAGCUUAUUUCGUAAGAAUUGAAGAAGCACGCUAUGUCUAGAAAUAUACCCUUCUCAUCUUCUUCCAAAUCAUCAUAGCUAACUUUAAGAAUUUCAUGGAUGUCUUUACGAAGGACUCCUUUAUAUUUAACUAAUGAGGAUUUCCAUACACCUAAACUUUUUCCAAACAAGUGAGAACCUAUCACCUCCAAAGCCAAGGGAAGACCAUGACAAUAAGUUACUAAACGUUUUGCAAUAUCCACAUAACAUGGAUCAAUUUUUUUAUUUUUAAAUGCAUGCCAACUAAAUAAUUCGAGAGCCUUUUCACUUUUUAGUUGUUUAACCUCAUAUACUUUCACAAUUCCAUGAGUGGCUAGCAAAUGCUUGUCCCUUGUAGUGACUAUAACCUUGCUGCCGAAGCCAAACCAACCAUGUCCUACAAAUGCCUGUAACUGCUGCACUUUGUCGACAUUAUCAAGAAUCAAAAGGACUUUCUUUCUUUGAAGCCUCCUUUUAAUUAUUGACAUUCCUCUGUAAACAUCUCCUACUUUAAUAUCCUUCUCCCCCAAUAUAUCAGAAAGUAGUGCUUCUUGGAGCCGUGCAAGAUCAUGAUUAAUUUCCCUCUUUCUUAUGUCAUCGAGAAAACACACACCUUCAAAUUGAUCAGCAAUUAAGUUAUGCACAGCACGAGCAGUUGUUGAUUUGCCUAUUCCGCCGAUUCCAUAAAUGCCUACCAUGCUGACUCUCUCAUUCGAGUCAAGUCCAAGGAGUGAUGUCACUUCUAAUAUUUGAGACUCCAAGCCAAUAGGGUUGGUUGCUACAUGCAAAGGAACGCGGUUUAUCUUUACAGAGACUUCUUCAACUAUCUUUUCAAUAAUCUUAUAUUCUGAUUCAAACCUGCACAAUUCAGAAGUACAUGUAGAUCGAAACCGAGUCAUUUAAUGUGCUUAAAUUUUUCACUUCAAACCAAAAUUAAUCACAUAAAAUUAUUAAUUCUUCACUAUAUUUCCUUCUACUAGAUUUAUAUGUUCACUCGUAAAGAUGUUGUGCAAGAUUGGACAGAUAUGGUAUAAUAGUGGAGAAGAGAUGUGAGAAAUGUUGUCAUGUGUCAUUAGAGAAAGCCUUUUUUUAGAAUGAAUCUGUUAGAACACAAAUCUUGUUCUAAAGAAAACAGAUAAAUAAAGGGCACACAAGAACAUAAUUGAUUGAUUUUCAAUCAAUUGCAUAGACUCGCUGCUAUAUACGAUCACAGGGUACAAUAUAAGUUUAAAUACUACAAUCCAAUUUACAAGUUUAUCUUUGAACCCUAACCAGCAGAUGAAUGGGCAAAGGACAUACGGUCCACUACAGUCGGCAACUGCCCAUUGCCCACUUUAUAAGUAAAUAUGAGUCAUACUCAACAUAAUAGAAUAUAUAUUUCCUUUACCUUCUGUGUUGGAGAACAAAAAAAAAAGGUAACUGAAAAAACAAAAAGAGAUGUAUUAAGGGGUGGUAUAACGUACCCUGGUUUGAAAUGCCAUCCAGAGACAUUUGCAGCUUGACGCAAAGCAUCCCUCCAUUUCUGCACCUUGCUAUCCUUCUCAUCUCCAAACCUCACCUCAUGUUUUGCAAAAGCUUCAGCAUAAGUUCCUGUUAGGUUUCGGAUUUGGGAUGGAUCCACAUCGUAAAAAACCGGCAAAAAUAACCUUCCUUGUAACAUUGAGCACUCAAGGAUGGUAACAAGUUCAGUCAAACAAAACGUUGAAGAUGCAUAGUUAGGGGAGAAAAUAGCAAUGAAAAUUCUAGAUUGUUUAAUGGCUUGAAGAAGAGUAGGUGUGAUUUCUUCUCCUUUUUGAAUUUCUUCAUCAUCCAUAAAAGUUUGUAUACCUCUUUGAUGAUGUAGAGAAUGGUACAGAUUACCAGUGAAGUUGUUUCUAGUAUCAAUGCCUCUAAAGCUGAGAAAGACAUCAUAAGUCCAAUCACAUGUGAAAGAAGAAAUAGAAGGUAGUGUUGAUUGUGACAUGAUAAUCAAUGAUUACUACUAGAGUCUAAACCAAUCAAUUAGGAAUGAAAUGAAGAAUCCUCUUAACAACUUUUUUCUCCUAUGAGUAUCUGUCUAGAUUAGAGAAGAAAGCUCUGCCAUGAACAAGUCAGACAAGCUGCAUAGUUGGCUACAAGUUGACUUGACAAUUUACCCACUAGUCUCCUAUUCUUUCAUUGUAGUCAAAUUCUAAAAGUAUUACCUCAUUCAUUAGAUUACACAUUUAUCAUAGUUGACUAAUAAAUUAAUUUUUUUAUUAGUAAAUACUCCCUCCAUUUCAUAAUGAGUAUUGCUUUAGAGAAGAAAAAAAAAUAUUGUUUCAAAUAAAAAAAACUAUUGAGGGACUAAAAAAUUGUUUCAUAAUGAGUAUCGCUUUACACAUUUAUCUUAGUAAACACUCUCAUUUCUUUGAAUUUUGUUAGAUUAUUUUUUUGCUAGAGUUUUAGAAAUAAAAAAAAAACUAUUGAGGGACUAAAGCGUAGAUUUUAACUUAAGAGGGGAGAGGAAUGUAAUUCAAGCUUCUCUCAAGGGAGGGGAAUGAAAUAUUUUCUAAUAUGUUUUGAAUAAUAGGGGAGGGGAGUGUAAUUCAAGCAUCUUUGAGGGGAGGGGAGUGUAAUUUACUCUUAAUUAUUUCAUUUCAUUCCUUAAUCUAUGUGUCAAAACCUUAAACGACACUCAUUAUGAAACGGAGAGUACGAAAUUAAAUGUUUUUUUUUGUUUUUAUGUAAUAUUAAUGAACUGAUGGCUCAUCAUUUUCAUGGUGGUUUGAAGAGUUAAAAAGUUGAUGAAUAUACUAUAAUUAUAUGGGUUGUGGAGUUUGUUUAUGGCUAGCCAGCCUAAUCCUAAUGGCUCUACAAAUGAAAAAUCCCUGUGUAAUGCUACUCAACCAGAUACGUCUUCUGAUGUUAUUUUUCAUGCAAAGGCAUUGAUAUGGGAGAAUACAUCAGCUAUGUGAAUUAAUCAUAGUUUUAACAACGGUUGUAAUAAUGGUCAUGUUGCAAACAGAGAUUUUACAAAACAUAACAAUAAAAUGCAAUUGAUGCGGUCUCAGUCGUAAUUAAGUCGUGAUUGCAAAGAAAUCAAAAACCUUAAUGCAUGUGAACCUUUUUCUAAAAACAUGUUCCUUCUCAUUCAUCAUUGCAACUUAGGAGCGUAAAUGCGUGUUAGAAUUGACCACCUGCUGUAUAGGUAGUUUUGUGAUUCGUGGAUAUAGGGUUCGGUUCCUUCAAUUUGAAGGACAGUGUGAGGCGAUGCAUAUAUGUUUCUAUUUCAUGUCAAUCACUAGUGAUUAAGGGAUUCUCGAAAGCAGUUUAAAUCUUGUGUUAUCUUCAUUUUUAAUGAGGUGCUACAUUAUCCAAUUUUAGCACCAAUGAUAUUGAAAAACUUGGAAGAUAGACGAAUUUUAACACCUCUAUCUGCAGUCGCGCAGUCGCAUCUGCAAACAGGGAGGAAUCCUUCCAACAACGCAUACAGGUAUGACUGAAAUGUCAGAUGGCAAUGCAUCAACAUUCCAACAUAACCAGAGAAUCAACAAGAACAAAACCAUAAAAAUGUUAUGGUGACUUUGUUAAUUCCCCUAAACAUCUUAGUUUUACACACAUAGGUGAGACCAUAUAUUAUGAAUACAAAUACCAAAAUUGAUUGCUACCUCCAAUAAUGGUGGACAUACAAUAGACAAACUCAGCAGACAAACUUAGGUGCUGUCAGUUAGAUACACUUCGUUAGAUCAUAGAGCAGAUUUAAGAGUUUUUAACAACUUAAAAGUAUCUAAAAGAGGAGCAACAAAAAUAACCUGAAAUACAUAAUUUUGGAGAUAAAAAGAGGAAAAAAUUGACAUCCAAAAAUAAAGAUGGAACAGAAAAACUUUCAAGCCUUGGUCUCCUCAGCAGCGGUUUCAAA